rnacentral:lncRNA from 1 species
GUCUUUGGCUCGUCUCCUUCCGUGAUACGCACCUGGUAGUAGUAGCAGCCCGGCCGUAAAUCCAACUUCGAGAAGUAAAAGAAAAUCAAGACAGAUGCCCAGAGAAACUGUUAGACUUCUUUAUUGCGUUGCGAAGAGAGAUCUACCGUUUAUCCACCAAUCUGCCCUGCUCUUUAUGAGCUGAGUUAUUCCAUAUGAAAAAAAGGAAUCCAAUCGUCUACCUAAGUCACUUCUAGAUUCUUCUUUGAUUCGCGAGAACUCGCUCAGCCUAACCAAAGCGUCACAACAACAUCCAAAGGUUGACAAAGUCAAUGCUACUAAGGACCGGGGUGAGCGGAAUUUAGUAAAGGCUCCUCAUUUCACUUCAUCCACUGAUCAAUGUCCUCGCAGAUGGACUGAGCAUCAAACGCUUGGGGGAGGAGACUGAACAAGAAGCAAAAAUUCUAUUAAUUAGAUUCCACUAUCAAGAGAAGGAAUACCCGACAAAGUCCCAUAUCCUCGUCACUAGCCUUGGAGAGGAAUCAACUCAACCGAUCUCUCUCUGUCUUCAUCUCUCAAGGACCCUGACGGAACUACAUGAAAAGCUAAGCAAAGGCGAGUAACGUUUCCCUCCGCGGGGGCCGAUUCCUCCUCUCUCCUUUCCUUAAUAAUAAGGUAAGUUUUCAAGCCGCUUUACUUGCUUGAUAUUCUACUAGUAAAGCGCUAGAGCCCCCCUUGUAUAUGAUCUCUUCACAAAAAGUCACACCAAAGCCAUUAAAAUUGAAAAUGGCCAAAGUUUUUUUCAUGCAUUCAUAUUGUAAGCUUUGCCUAUAAAUAGAGAAGUAGAAUGCAUUUGUAAAGCCUCCUAAUUUGUGAGAAGUAGAGAGCAAUUGCAAGUGAGCUCUUUGAGAGAAUUUGAGAGAGCUUCCACUUCAGUGUUCUAGUGAGGUUUUUUGAAUUUUUGAAUUUUUUAAAUUUUUUUGGUUUUUUUUAAUAAACAAAGCACACACUAUUCCCACCCUCAAACUUAUUCGGAACAUUGUCCUCAAUGUUUCACAAACAAAAGAUAUGCAUGCAAAAAGAUGAGAAAAUAAAUAAAUAAUAAAAGAAAAAGUUAGAGAGAACACACCUAGAUGGGCUGGAAAAGCUUAAAAGAAAAUGAUAAAUAAAAAGAAAACGUUAGAAAAGAAAAAUACUAGAAAAGAAAAACAAACAAAGAAAAGAAAACAUACUAUUUAAAUAAAACAAGAAUGUAAAAAUGAAAUUAACUAAUCCUGAUAAACAAGAUCAUCUAAAAGUAUCUCCUCGACUUCUGGUGUUCUUAACUCUAAAAAUGGUUUUAAUCUUUGACCAUUGACCUUAAAUAAAUCACCAUUUUGAGGAUUUUCAAUCUCAAUUGCUCCAUAAGGAAAGACAGUACGAACUAUAAAAGGACCAGACCAUCGAGAACGUAACUUACCUGGAAAGAGAUGUAAUCGGGAAUUGUAUAAAAGUACUUUCUGGCCUGGUGUAAAGGAUUUUCUCAAAAUGUGCUUGUUAUGAAAUACUUUCAUUUGUUGCUUGUAAAUCUUGGCAUUCUUAUAUGCAUCAUUCUUGAUCUCUUCAAGUUCUGUUAGUUGUAAUAUUCUGUUGGAACCAGCCUGCUGCAUAUCAAAAUUGAAUUUCUUAAUAGCCCAAUAUGCACGAUGCUCUAACUCUAUUGGCAGAAGACACACUUUUCCAUACACAAGUUUGUAAGGCGACAUCCUAAUUGGUGUUUUGAAAGCAGUCCUAUAUGCCCAUAAUGCAUCAUCAAGUCUCAAAGACCAAUCCUUUCUAUCUAACCUAACUCUUUUUUUACAGAAUUUGCUUGAUUUCUCUAUUAGAAAUCUCUACUUGGCCACUGGUUUGAGGAUGGUAUGGGGUAGCAACCUUAUGUAUAAUGGAAUAUUUGUUCAAAAGAGUUUUGAAAGGUUUAUUGCAAAAAUGGGUACCGCCAUCACUAAUGAUUGCUCUAGGGAAACCAAAAUGAGAUAGAAUAUUACUUUUCAAGAAUUUCACUACAACUCUAUGAUCAUUGGUUUUGCAUGGAAUAACUUUAACCCACUUCGACACAUAGUCCAGUGCAACCAAUAUAUACUGAUAACCAAAAGAUUGAGGAAAAGGUCCCAUGAAAUCAAUAACCCAUACAUCGAAGAUCUCAACCACCAGAAUAUGAUUGAGUGGCAUCAUAUUCCUCUUUGAAAUGCUACCCAUGCGUUAGCACCUAUCACACAAAGAACAGAAAACAUAAGCGUCAUGAAAAAGAGUAGGCCAAUAAAAACCACACUGUAAAAUUUUUGUUGCUGUCUUUUUGGCACUAAAAUGACCUCCACAAGCUUGUUUGUGGCAAAAAGAGAUGACACUUUGAAUUUCAUUUUCUAGAACACAUCUCCUAAUAAUCUAAUCAGCACAAUAUUUGAAUAAAUAUGGAUCAUCCCAAAAGAAAUUCUUCACUUCGGAUAAGAACUUUGUUCUAUCUUGCUUAGUCCUGUGUGCUGGGAUUUGACUUGUGGCAAAGUAAUUAACUAUAUCAGCAAACCAUGGUACAACAUUCACACUCAUAAGUUGCUCAUCCGGAAAAGACUCAUUCAAAGGUAAAGAUUCUAGAAUAAAUUUAAGAUCAAGGCGAGACAAGUGAUCCGCCACAACAUUUUCAGAACCUUUUUUAUCUUUAAACUCAAUGUCAAAUUCCUGUAAAAGCAAUACCCAACGAAUCAAUCUUGCUUUAGCAUCUUUCUUAGUAAGCAAAUAUUUUUAAAGCAGCAUGAUUAGUAAAAAUAAUCACUUUACAACAUAUAAGAUAAGAUCUGAAUUUAUCAAGUGCAAAUACCAUAGCUAGCAUUUCUUUUUUUGUAGUUGAAUAGUUCAACUGUGCAUCAUUGAGUGUCAUACUAGCAUAAUAAAUCACAUAAGGCACACGAUCUAAUCUUUGUCCUAAAACUACUCCUACAACAUAAUUAGAUGCAUUACACAUAAUUUCAAAAGGCAAAUCCCAAUUAGGUGGCUGAAUGAUAGGUGAAGAAGUCAACAAUUCCUUAAGCUUUGCAAAAGCAUCAAGACAAGAUUCAUCAAAGAUAAAAGGUGCAUCCUUAACAAGUAAAUUGCAUAGGGGUCUAGAAAUUUUAUUAAAAUCUUUAAUGAAUCUUCUAUAAAAACCAGCAUGUCCAAGGAAAAAUCUUACUUUUUUUAUGGAUUUGGGAUGUGGAAGAUUAGAAAUUAAAUCCACCUUAGCUUUGUCGACUUCUAUACCUCUGCUGGAAAUUAUAUGACGAAGGCCAAUACCUUGUUUUAUCAUGAAGUUACACUUUUCCCAAUUUAGAACUAAGUUCUUUUCUUUACAUCUCUGCAAAACUAAUGUUAGAUGCUGCAAACAUUCAUCAAAAGAAUCUCCAUAAACAGAAAAAUCAUCCAUGAAUACUUCAAGAAAUCUCUCAGCCAUAUCAGAAAAAAUAUAAGCAUGCAUCUUUGAAAGGUAGCAGGUGCAUUGCAUAAACCAAAUAGCAUUUUCCUAUAUGCAAAAGUUCCAAAGGGACAAGUAAAAAUAGGUUUCUCUUGGUCCUCUAGAGCUAUAGGGAUGUGAUUAUAACCUAAAUAUCAGUCUAGAAAAUAAUAGAAAUCAUGACUUGUAAGUCUAUCAAGCAUUUGAUCAAUGAAUGAAAGAGGAAAAUGAUCUUUUCUUGUGACUGAAUUUAAUUUUCUAUAAUCAAUACAAACACGCCAACCUGUAGUUACUCUAGUAGGAAUUAAUUCAUUAUUAGCAUUAGCAACUGCCGUAACACCAGAUUUCUUAGGAACGACUAGCACAGGGCUAACCCAAGAGCUAUCUGAAAUAGGAUAAAUAAUUCCUGCAUCUAAUAAUUUAAUUACUUCAGCUCUUACCACUUGUUUCAUGUUAGGAUUUAGCCUACGUUGCAUCUCCCUAAUAGGUUUAGCAUUUUCUUCAAGAUGAAUACGAUGCAUGCAAUCUACUGGAUUAAUACCUUUAAUAUCAGCGAUGGUCCAACCUAUUGCCUCCUUAUGCUCUUUUAAAAUACCCAACAACUUACAUUUUAGCUCAAGAUCGAGGGAGGAAGAAAUAAUAACAAGUAGAGUGUCAGAUUCUCCCAAGAAUGCAUAUUCUAGAGUGUCGGGUAGUGCUUUGAGUUCCAAUUUUGGUGGUGUCUCUGCAGAUGAGCUAAUCUUCUUCUCAAAAUGAGUCAGUGGUUCUGCCUUUGUCUUCCAUUUAGUUGUGUCCAUAAUUAGAGGUGCAUCAAGUAAGGCGUUGACUUCUGCAAUUACACUGUCAUUAUUAAAAGAUACAUCAGAAUGAGUUAGACAUGCCUCUAAUGGAUCAUCAGUAUAGUUAGAAAUGAAUGAAUCUUCUACUAAUUCCUCUAUCAUAUUUGCUUCGAUAAAUUCAUCUUCUUCAUGUGGCUGCUUGGUAACAUUAAAAGUAUUUAAUUCCAUGGUCAUAUUACCAAAAGAUAGCUGCAUGUUUCCAUUCCUGCAAUUAAUAAGAGCAUCAGCUGUAGCUAAGAAAGGACGACCUAGAAUAACUGGGGUGUGUUUCUUAGGAUCCUGUACAUGCUGAGUAUCAAUAACAAUAAAAUCAACAUGAUAAUAAAAAUUAUCAAUCUGUAUCAACACAUCCUCUAUAAUACCACAAGGUAUUUUCAUUGACCUAUCAGCAAGUUGCAAAAUAAUAGAAGUUGAUUUUAACUCACUUAGUCUAAGCUGCAUGUAAACAUAAUAAGGCAAGAGAUUAACACUAGCACCCAAGUCCAAUAAUGUUUUAUCAAACAAUUAGUUCCCUAUAACACAUGAGAUAGUAAGGGAACUUGGAUCCUUAAAUUUUGGUGGCAUUUUACAUUGAAGUAAAUUGCUAGUUAGUUCAGUUAAAAAUGCUUUUUUGGUGACAUGCAAAUUUCUCUUUUUAGUGCAUAAAUCUUUCAAAAACUUGGCAUAGGAAGGAACUUGCUUAAUAGCAUCGAGUAAAGGGAUGUUUAGGAAGGAACUUGCUUAAUAGCAUCGAGUAAAGGGAUGUUUAUACUUACCUGCUUGAAGAUUUCCAUAAUCUCACCUGUUGAAGUCCUUUUCUUUACCUUUGUUAACCUUUGAGAAAAAUGAGCCUUGGGAAUGUAAGCUUGUGGGCCACUCCCUUCUAGAUCAUUUGGUGAUGAGUCUUGUGAUGGAACUGGAUCUGAAGAAGUAAGCUCAGAUGUCUUCCUUAUUUGAACCUCCACUUUGUUAUCAAACAAUUUUCCUCUUCUCAAGGUCAUAAUAGAUUUUGCUUCUUCAUGCUGAUGGCUUAAACUCGAUCCAACUUCAUGCACUCUUUUAGGAUUAGGAACUGGUUGACUUAGGAAUUUUCCUUUUUCUCUCUCAGCCACAAUAGUUGCUAAUUGACCCAAUUGAUGUUCAAGCUUUAGAAUAGCUUGAGUGUUUGACUGAAAAGCUUGUUGGGUUGACUGAAUGAAACUUUAAAGUGUAUCUUCUAAAGAAGGUUUUCUUUUUUGGGGUGCAAUAAAUCGAAACAUAAGCUGUUGGGUAGGAGGAUAUACUUGGUUAGGAGGGAUAAAUUGUUGAUUGGGCAAGCUAAAUUGUUGUCCUCCUUGGUUUGACAAAGGUUGAUUUUGUUUCCAAGAAAAAUUAGGAUGAUUCCUCCAAUUAGGAUUAUAUGUGGGUGAAUAUGGAUUAUUAGAGGUUUUCUCAUAUUAUUGUAAGGCAUGUACCUGCUCAGAAUAAGCCUCUUGAUAGGCUAGUAAUGAUGGACAAUUCUGUGCAGUAUGAGACAAGUUAGAACAAAGAGCACAAACCUCAUUAGCUACACUAGGAUGAUGAUUCAUUGAUUGGUUCAGAGGUAAGGCAUCUACUUUCCUAGAAAGAGUAGAUAGAGUGGCUUUCACAUCAAAAUCAUCUUCAACUUCAUAUAGACCCUUUCUAGAAACUUGAGGCGAUUUCUCUAUUUGAUGUGAAAAAUUCCACUGUUGAGAAUUCUCAGAAAGUGAAUUAAAGAAAUCCCAUGCAGCCCUUUCAUGUAGGUUAAAAAAUCUCCCACCAUUCAUAGACUCUACCAUAUGAUGAUUUGACAUGGUUAAACCGUUAUAAAAGCAUUGUAUAAGUCUCCAUUUCUCAAAACCAUGGUGGGGACACUUGAGGAGUAAAUCAUUAAAUCUUUCCCAACACUCAUAAAAUUGCUCACCCUCUCUUUGAUAAAUAUCAUUUAUCUCUCUCCUAAGGGCAUUUUUUUUAGACAUAGGAUAAAACUUGGUGAGGAACUUGUUGCUUAAUUCAUCCCACGUAGUAAUAGACCCAGCAGGAAGUGAAUUCAACCAAGCUUUCGCUUUGUCUUUUAAUGAGAAAGGGAACAUACGAAGUCUAAUUGACUCAUCAUUAAAAUUUUGAAAACGGAAUGUAGAGCAUAUGUCAAGAAAUUCCUUAAUGUACAAAUAUGGAUCCUCUCUCUCUAACCCAUGGAAAGAUGGUAAAAGUUGAAUGACAGAGGGCUUAAGUUCAAAGUGUGUUGCUGUAGUUUGUGGCAACACAAUACAAGAUGGUUGGUUGGCUGCAAGUGGUGAAAAAUAUUCUCUAAAGGUUUUCUCUGCUUGCACUGAUGGAAGUAUUGGCAAUAGUCUAUUAGGGUCAUCUAUCACUUCUGAAGAACUAUCUCGACUACUAUCAAUUUUUAACUCUUUUUUUUACCAAACGAUAUGUUAAAUCGCGUUCCCAAAUACUCAUAAACUAACUAGAUAAGGAAAGAAAAAAUAAAAUACAAUAAAAUAAAAUAAACCAACAAUAAUGAAAAUAAACGAAAUUUAAAAAUAAAAGAAAUCAAACAACCAAACAAUGAAUUUAAAGACAAAUAAAAAUAAAAAUAAAAAUUAAUAAAAAAUUAAAUUAAUUAAAUAAAAGACAACCUAAAUUAUAACUAGUGGAAGAAUCAAAUCAACCUAAAUUAAACUGACUUUCUGGCACAAUCCCCAGCAACAGUGCCAAAAACUUGUUGUGAAAAAUUUUAAUAUACUCGCAAGCGCACGAAUCUAGAAAUAAAAUAGUGGUAACGAGGUCGAACCCACAUGGAUUGUUAUAAAUUAAAAAGUCUAAUUUAAAUCUAAAAUUAAUAUUAAUUCUAACCUAAUUGAGCAAAUUGAAUUUUUAAGAGAAAUUAAACUAAUUAAACUAAGAAAACAAUUAAAGCAAAUGAGAAAUCAAUAAGACAAAAAUUACCAAGGUUUCAGAAUCCACCACUAUUCAAUUAAUAAUUAUCUAAUUAUUAAUUAAUCCCAAAUUUUAGAGUGACAACUCGAAAUCAAUCUAUGUCAUCUCAUAAAUAUAACAAUUAAGCCCAAUUAAAAUUAAUCUUGUGUAGGUUCUUUUUCUUCUUAAUAGUAUGAUAUCUGGAGAUGGCCAAUGGGCCGGGCGGCACGUGGCACGGCACGGGCACGACACGUGUCCGUACGACAUGGCAUGACACGAGCACGUUUCGGUGGGGCACGAGGCACGACACAGUACGCAUGUGGGCCGUGCCGGGCCUAGAAUUUUAGGCACACGGGCCUUAAAGCACAGCACGAUUAGAGAUGAGCCAAAGCACGACACGCGAAAAAGCAUAUAAUAAGCACGGUUCAUUAGUGGGCUAGCACGUGGCCUGUGGGCCAUCAAUAGCACGUGGGCCAAAAUAUAUCUAAGUAAAUUUUUUUAACAAAAAGUAAAUAUAAAAUGUUAUGAAAUUAAAGUAAAAUAUCUUGAAAUUAAAUGUUUUAAUAUAUUUUUUAGCAUAGACUUUUAAAAAUUAAUUUAAAUCAUUAAAUCUUAGUUUAAAUAAAUAUUCUAAUUUUUUAUGUUUAUAAUUUAUUAAAUGAAUAAGUAAAUAUCAUGAUUUUAAUAAAUAAAAUUAUAAAUAUCAUAAUUUUAUUUAUGAUAUUUAUUAAAUGAAUAAUGUUAUUUAUGAUAUUUAAUUUUAUUUAUGAUAUUUAUUUAAUUAUUUAUUUAUGUUUAUAAUUUAUUAAAUGAAUAAGUAAAUAAGUAAAUAUCAUGAUUUUAAUAAAUAAAAUUAUAAAUGUCAUAAAUUUAUAAAUGAUAAAUAAAAAUUAAAAAUUUUAACAACAUUAAUAAUAAAAUAUUUUUCAUAUGAAAUAUUUUUCAUAUUAAUAUUAAAUCAUAACUUAGUUAAUAUUUAAUAGAGAUAUGUUUCAUUUGUGAAUGAAAUAUUUUUCAUAUUUAUACACAAGAAAAAUUUAUGAACGAAAUAUUUUUAUGAUAAAUUAAAAAAUACAUUUUCAUUAAAUGAAGUUCAAGUACAAUUAUAAUAUUAGUAAUUCAAACAAAAUUAGGUGUAAUUUGCAUCACUACAGUUAACAGUACAUCCCAGCUAGGUUGGCACCUACUGAACCAUCUAUCAUUUGCAAAUUUACAACCUUCUCACUAAUAAAAUUUGUUUCAAAAAGUUACAAGAAAAAAAAGUCUCUAGUCUUUGGAAGUGGCUUCAAUGUUCAGUACUCUGCAUAAUCUGGAUUCACUUCAUCUUGAUCAACAUCCAAACUCUCAAUUUGUUUAAUUAAAGCAUUUUGCCAAUCUUGUUGCACUCGACGUUCAGCAUCUUCUCAAUCUUUCAAACAUAACAAAUAGUCUAAUGUCUCUGAUGACAAUCGUGACCGACGUUCAUCUAGAAUUCUUCCACCUGUACUAAAAGCUGAUUCUGAUGCUACAGUUGAAGCUGGAGGGGUUAGUAGAUCACGGGCCAUAAUGGAUAAUAUAGGGAAAAAAGAUGUCUUACCCAUCCAAAAUUCUAAAAUAUCAAAAUUUUGCAAUUGUGAAGGAGUUGCUAAAUCUUCAAGAUUGACAGAACAAUAUCUUUGCAAUUCAUUACGAUUAGUAUCAAUACUAGAGGCAACACCCUUACCUUUGAGUAACAAGAGGUGAGCUGGAUUUUUAUAAAAAGUCGAUGCUUGUUGAACAUUAGAAUAUGUAUUGCUUGAUUCGAAUUUAUUUCGAUAAAAAUUAAAAAGUUCAUGAAUAGAGGACAUAAUUCUAUCAAGCUCGGUUUGUAAAUUUUCACUAAUACUCUCAACUAAAGGUUUUGCACCAACUUCCUUGAUUGUAGGAUCCAACACUGUUGCAAAAAUAAAUAGGUGGGGAAUAUCUUUCCAAUAUUUUUGGAAUUUUUCCUCCAUGGCAUCACAAAUAUUUUUAAACAUAAUAUUCUCUCUAAAAGUCUUAAAAGUAUAACUCAUAUUAUACAAGUGCAUUAACACUCUACAUGAAGUAGGCUCAUAAACAGUAGAACAUGCAAGAGUAGCAUCAUAAGAUACCUUUAAAAAAUCCAUAAAUUUAAAUGCAACAUUCCAAUCAUAAUCAGUGAUAUGAUAAUCUUCAUAAUUCAUUCUCUCAUUGUAAAAACUAGAAAUUGCUUCAGAAUAGUUUUGGCAAGAAAGCAACAUCAAAUACGUAGAAUUCCAAUGAACUUUCAUGUCAAUGUUGAAUUUUAUCCUUUUCAAUCCAAAAAUUUUCAACGUAGACAAAAAUUGUUGACGUCUUGAAGGUGCUCUAAUAAAUAAAAUGGCUGCUCUAAUUUUUUCUAAAUAAUGAUUUAUAUGAGUCAUACCAGCUUGAACAAUUAAAUUAAUAAUAUGACACACAUCUCACAUGAAAAAAUUUUGAACCACGUGCAGGCGUGAGAGUAGAAAUAUUCCGCAAAAACAUAUCAAUUGCAACUAUAUUGGCAGAUGCAUUAUCAAAUGAUAUGCUAAACAAUUUAUCAGUAAUUUCAUAUUCUCUUAAAACAGACAUUAUAGCUGCAUAAAUUACUGAACCAGUGUGAGGAUAUUCUAAUUCAUGAAAUGCAAGCAAUUUUUUUUUCCAACCUCCAUUUACCAUUAAUCUCAUGUAUAGAGUACGAAGUCACACAAAAUAACCAACCAUAUUAAUACCAGUCCAACAAUCAGAAGAAAUUGAAAUAACACCAUUAAAAUUGAUAAAAGUAUUAAUUAAAAGUUUGUUCAUGUCAUAAAAAAUUUUAGUUAAAUCACGUUUUAAUGUAUUUCUAGGCACUUUCUUAAGUUGAGGCUGAACAUACCUUUGCAGAAAAUUUAUUAGACGUUCAUCUUCUGAAAAUGUUAAAGGUUGUUCUGCUGCAGCAAUAUACCGAGCCAAUCCUUCUCGCAUGUUCUGUUGUGAAUAUCUGAAUGAUGUUAUACCGGAAGGUCCAGAACCAUAUUGUGAGAGUUGGGUUUGUGUUGGGUCUUGUGGCGCGUGUUUUGUCUGACAAGUUUCCAUAUGUCAUCUAAGAGGUCCAGUUCCACCAUUGCCUUUGGCACUUAAAGCGGAUUGACAAUAUUUGCACACUGCUUGAUCCACCAUUUCACCUUUUUUGUUUUGACGUUUUUCCAAAGUAAAACAUGACCAAACAAUCGAUGUUCUUUGUCGUUUGGAGGUAGUAGUAGGAUUGGCAGUCGAAGAAGUAGAACCACUUUGACUUGCUUGAGAAGUAGGAGGUGAUCGUUCCGGUGGGACAAUAAAUAUAUUACUUGGAUCAAAUUCUGGUGCAACAAUUUCUUCAUUUGCAACUUCCUCCCCCUCUUCAACAAAAUUAAAAUUCUCAUCUAACUCAAAAUGAGAGUGAGACAUUUUAUAUAAUUAGCGUUUUGGUAAAUAAAGGCGGUUGGAAUGUAUUUGUGCGGGUGAAAAAAAAGAAAAAAAUUAUUGAGCAAGAGAAUGGAGAUUCGUGUGUUAAAUGGUGUUGAAUGAUGUUUUGCUUUUGUUUGAGAUUUCAGUAACAAAGGGAAAUUGUUGGAAUUGUAGCAAAGUUUCGAGAAGAUUGGGCAAGCAGAGACUAGAGAUGACUGAUGAGACAAGAGAGAUAACGAAGAGAUAGAGAUUGAGAAGUGAGAUAAGUUCGAAAAUAAUUUAAUCGUUUAAAUAGAAUAAAAAAGUAAAAAUAUUAACAGUCAAAAAGGGGCAAACACGCAAAGCUUCCUGCAAGGUUGCAACUGCAAAGCUUCCUACAACUCUGCAAGGUUGCAGCAAAUUAAACUGUUGCAUUUAAUAAUUCAUUUGUCCGUUGGAAUUGUAAGGUGAGUAAUUGAUUUAAUUUAAAUUUUUUUUUGUUAUUAAAAAUCAGAAAUAGUUAAUUGUUGAGGGACCUGUCUAUGGUACCGAUUCUGUAACAAACAUCUCCCGUCAUCCCACCAUCCGAUUGUCUAUUGUUUAGUUUCUCACUCCACAUCCAACCACAUCCAACGGCUGAUGCUGCAGUUUGUGGCUCACAGAUUCUGUAAGCUAGUCAAGUCCAAUUGUUGAGUGCCCAUGUUGUGAAAUUGACUAGUCACCUAGUCAUAUCAACUUUAUUGUUUUUUUUAAAGACAUAUCAACUUUAUUGUUAAUUUAAUUAAUUCAGAAUUUUUUUUUGUCCUUUGGGUGAGUAAUGAAAUUAAUUUAGAAUUUUUUUGUCAUUAAAAAUCAGAAAACAUUAAUUACUAAUCGGAGCCCAACUGCCCAUGCUGUACAAUUGAGUAGUCAUAUCAAUUUUAUUGUUAAUUCAAAAAAACUUUUCCGUUGGGUGAGUAAUAAAAUUAAUUUAGAAUUUUUUCGUUAUUUAAUAAUUAAAAAAAUUUAAUUUCUAAGUGCAACAUUGUUAUUUAUUUUUUAAAAUAAUUUUAGUAAUUAAUUUUUUUUUCAAAACAACGUAUUAAAUUAAAAAAAAAUUAUGGUUCAUUGUUACAAGAGAAUCACGCAACUAUCACAAUGUUAAUAAAUUCUAUCACAAGUGUGUUGAUGAGAUAAUAUUAUAGUAGGAAUACGGGAGGAGCUUGCAUUCAUUAUGUAGAGUAUUUUAUUUUUUUGAAUUUAAAUUCUCAACUCAAAUUUUCAACACGGUAGUUGUCAUAUAGUGCACAUGCAGACGUGCAGAUUGCAGUGCAGCUGUGCAGUCAAUUCAAGUUUCAGGAUUUGAAAAUUGUGAAAGUUGCAACUUGCAAGCGUGUUGUAAAAUUGAGUAGUUAUGUCAAUUUUAUUAUUGCGUGACUGUAAAAUUUUAAAAUUAUGUGCAGUGUAAUCAAUUAAAAAUUUGAAAAAUUAUGAAAGUUAACCGACAAUGAUGUUUAAAUAAUAAAAAAUUGGGAUAAUUGUGCAUUUGUUUUAAUAUUUUCAUUUAUUUUUUAAAUAAUUUAAGAUCUUUUUCCUACAUGCCAACCACGCACUUGCCUCAUGGCUCCACAAAAAUUAAGAUCUCAAGAUUCAUUCAUUCACAAAUAUUUAUAUUUCACUAAAUAUUUUUUACUUACUCUUUUUACUCCCACCGACAAAGUAAAUAAAAUUAAUUUUUAUCUUUUUAUUACUAUCUAAUAUUAUAUAUACACGCCAUUAUGCUAUGAUGCUUCACAAUUCUUAUUCUUCUUCUUUUUCCUCUCAAACUUUCCAAUAUUUUAAAAGCCAAAAUCAUUAUGAAUCUGCAGCAACAUAAUAUGAAUGCAGAAGAACCUCAACACUCUCAAGAAUAAAAUGUUGAUGUAGUUGGACCUCAACAAAACGCUAGGCUAAAUCAGUCCAGAAGUCAUUCUUUAAAUGAGCUUUUUCAAAAUUUUGCUACAAUAAGGGAGGAAAUAAUAGAUAAUAGUUUGCAUCGUCCAUACAAACGGAUGAUCUUGAGGUGCAACUAUUGUCAUCGAGAAGUUAUUUAUUCAGACAGCCAUGGCACCUUGGGUUUACGUCGACACGUGUCAAAUUGUUUAGUUCGCCAUCUUAGCCAAGAUAGAAUUAACCUUGCUCAUUUCCCGUAUCCAUAGUUGUGAUUAAUAAAUGUUUUUUUCAUGCUUGUUAUUCGUCAAUUGGUCGUAGUUCGCAUUUCGUAGUUGUAACUUGUAAGUUGUGACCUAUGAUUUGUUAUAUUGAUAUUUCGUAGUUAUGACUUAUUGUAAUUAUUAUUCGAGGAUUGUAUUUUUAAUUUUAAUUAAUUAUUAUUAUUAUUAUCUAUGGAAUUAAAUUUAUGUAUUGUUGUGUUAUGAUUGAUUAUUGUGAAAUAAAAUAUAUAGUUGUGAAUUUGUGAUAAACUAAUAAUAAAAUGUUAAUUGCCUCUUAAUAAAAAUUAAUAUGAUUAUGAUUAUGAUUAUGAUUAUUAUUAUUAUUAUUAUGUUGGUGGGCUUAAAAAAACACGCCAAGUACGUGGGUUUUUUUAGGCACGUUAAAAAAAAAGUUGGUAGACUUUUUUUGGGCACGGCCCACGGCACGAUACGAGCCCGCUCGUGCCGUGGGCCGUACUGGGCUCAACUGAAAAAAAUAUGGGCACAGCCUUGCCGGCCCACGAGCCCUUGUGGGCCGACAGUUGCCGGCACGGCCCAUUGAACAUAUAUAGGGAAUUAAUUAAAUGAAAAAAAUAAUUAUUUCAUUGAAUAGGGUUUCAUCCUUAACCUCAACAUAAGAAAAUUAGCUGGAUAUACUUGAAUUAGGAGCAACAAAAGAAAUAAAAUCAGCCAUGGGAAGCCGAACUGCUGCAGCCGGUUUUCUCCCGAAUCGCGUCUGCUUUUUUUUUCCUUCCUAUGGCGACUACUUUCAGUGUUCUCUUCUUUUUUCCUGGCGGCUACCCCCUAAUUCGUUUUAUACUAUAACGCCACCACAAAAUCCUCAAAUCAAAAUGAUUUUAAAACAAGCCAAGCACAACCAACUUUAAGCCCAUGCAUGUGAAACCCACUUGAAAUCAAUGGUCAAUGCUUUUCCAACUAUUCACGUGAGAUGCACACUUAGAAACUCAAUUAUUCUCCUUUAAGCAUCCUUUUUCCUCUUUUCUUUUAUUCUGCACAAGCGGCAAUUAUUUCCAUAAACUCUAAUUUGUUUCCUUUUUAAGCUCCCUUUCAUCAAUGGCUUCCACAAAUUGAUUUGAUCUUUAUUGCUGUCCAAUUAUUAUUCCUUAUGCACUUUUCAUCCAUAAUCUCCAAUUAAUUCCCUAGUCAAUAAAAAAAUUCAAUUAAUUAAAAAUAACAAAUAAAAAUAACUAGCAAUUAUGUAAUUAAGGAUAAAAUAUGUAUAUAUUAUAUGCUCAUCAUUCCAUUUGGGUGUAUUGGGGUUGUGGGUUUUGUGAGUUUUUCCUACUUUUGUAAAUUCUUAUUAUUAGUAAAAUUAUCUUUCAGUCUUUGCCCGUGGACGUAGGCAUUACGCCGAACCACGUAAAUUAUUGUGUUCUAUUUUCUUUGCAUUUGUUUGUCACAUUUAUAUUUCUCCAAAAGUUACAGUCAUCGUAAUAUUGGUAAUUGUUCAACCUCGCAAUUCUGCAACACCAUCCUUACACUAUUAACGAAGAGAGAGAGAGAGAGAGAGAGUAAAGCAUCCCAAAAUGUAGAGAGCUUAAGAUUUAACUCUUUGAUAGAGAGUGUAGAGAAACGGAGUACUAACAAGUGAGUUCUUAAAAAGUUUGGGGAGUGUUCUCUUGAGUGUUCAGUUGAGAUCUAUAUUAUUUGUAGGGAUGCGAGAGAUUGUUUCCUUCGGUAGAUUGUUUCCUUCAAGAGCGUUGAGAGUACUAAAUGUAUUUAAGUAUUUGGAAAAUAAGGUUUAAUUACUCAAAUUUAUACUCUAUUAAUUGUUAAUAAAAUAAUUAUUCUCUCUUUGCCUCCUUGGAUGUUGGUAUCGUUGCCAAAUCAGGUUAAAGACAAGUGUCUUUAUCUUUUUUAAAUUAUCUAGUGCCUAUUGAUUGCACAUCUGCGCAUAAGUGGCAUUGAACUGCAACAAAUGACACUUUUGCACACAACACCACAUUGGAUACGUCACCGAGCAAGUUACCAGCAACUCGCAUCUUAUGAACCUAAUUUACAUGUGAAUAUAAAUGAGCGUGGCAUUGGCAUGUUACUAAAGAUAUUGUACAUAAAUCUACUAUUCUUAAUACCAACUAAAUAUUGGCCGUGUAUCAUUGUGGACAAAACCUUUAGGCAACAGCGAAGUCAGAUAACAGCGAAGUUAGAUAUUCAAUAUAGUUGGAGUUAUGUUCAAACAACAAUAUGAUUUAAAAAAUUUUAGUAAGUACUGAAAUUCUAAAUUGACUUCACUGAAAUAAUAUAAUUCAAUAAAUUCAUAAUCGUACUCAAUUAGCCAUAUACUUAUGGUAGCUCGAAGUUGUACAUGCUCUAAAACAUAGCGGCUACCUAAAACAAGUGUAUAAAAUUUUCGUUAUGAAAGAGACUCUAGGGUGCUGAUUUUUAUCAUCAACAAAUCCAAAAGAAAAUGGCUAUUUGCCCUUUUUGGCCAAACAAUAGAGAAAAUUUUGUAAACAGUCAAAUAAUAUUCUGUCAUAUGAGAGAGUAGAGGGUUAUAUUAAAUUAAAAAAUCAAUGGGACUCACUAAUGCUCCUAUCUUUGAACUCACUAUUCUACCACAGAACACCAAUAAAUUGUCUCAAUUAAAAUUUUCUCCACACAAUGACAGAGCAGAGAACCCCACUAAAUUAAAAUAGUUAGUAGGACCCACUAAUGGUGCCACUUUUGAACCACUGCUUUACUACAUGGCAAAACACUAGUGGUCUGUCUUACCUAAUUUUUUCUCCACAUUUAUACACUAAUAGGAAAAAUGACUCACUAAUGUUAAAAAAAAUGAUUUGGAUCUAGCGCAAAACUGAGCUAUUCUCACCUCUUCAUAAUUGUUUUUAUACACGUGCAUGUAUAGAAUAUAUGGUUAGGAUUUAAGUAAUUUUAUAUUGUUAUCCAAAAACUACCAAAUCCGCUAAAAAAACGAAGAAAAACUGUGAUUGAAAACAUAAAGAGAUAGAGGAAUUAUUACCUAAUAGGAUUCAUAUCUUCUCAUAUUCUGGUAUCCAAUGUUUUAAAAAUCUAUAUGUGACAAUCAUCAAAAUGUAUGGUGAGGAUUUAUUACAAGCCUCUUAAGAGAUGAACUAAUAAAAAACUCGCACUUCAUGAUUCCAUGGCUCCUAGUGUUUUUUUUCCCUCUCCAUCAAUAACUCAUCUUCUCCUCAACGAUUAAUCACUGCACACAAAAAAAGGAAAGAAAAAAUGAAGAAGGAAAGAGCAGGCAGCCAGUGCAAGAAGAAAAAUUAAAGAAGAAGAGCCUACGUUUGAGCGUGUACUUUAACAAGUACAAUUAUCCAAAGAGUUUAUUUUAAUUAAACCUAUUAAGGAAUAAAAGUCUCCUCUAUAGCAAUUUUAUUUUCAGAUGGCAGAUCGAAGGUCCAACUUUAGGAUGAUACAAACACCCAAGAACUAAUUUUAGCUGAGAGUAGCAGAUUAGUCGUGCAUGAAGAGAAUUCUUAUGAUGUUGAAUCAAAUAUUGGCCAAGUAAUUAUUCACAUUCAAGAACCUAAUCAAACUACGACUUCCUACCUUCAUAACUUCGGCAUUAUUUUUCUUUUGUUUUUAGAAAUUGCAAAGACUUGAUUUUGAUAGAGAUCAUAGCUGAUCAAAAGUGUUGUGCUCUGUAGAGUGAACUAGAGAACGUAAGAUUUUUGAGAGUUAGGGAAGAAAAAUAAGAGUUUAAGAGUUGUUAAUAAAAUUCAAAUAAACAAAUCUUAGCCAUUCAUUUUGUUAAUAGCCACGUAUGAAGUAAAUCUUCAAAAAGUCAGAAAUUUCAUAUCAUCAGAGAAUUUGAAUCAGUUGGUUAUAUCUGUGAGCAAAAACGGAUGAUUAAAUCCCCUAAGAACAUUUCCUAGAACACUAUUUCCAAUGGCAGCAUAAGCCAUGCAGGUUAAUAAAGAAAUGUAAAAUAAUGUUGUUCCACCAAUGGCAUAUAAUGUCAUUUUCUUCAUCACUUCAUUUUGUGGUGGCUUUAAGGUAUCUUUCAAUUCACCAAGGAAGUAAUAGUAAUAUAUAAGUAUCAAUUGCUUAUUUAUUAAGAUGAUAUAUUGUCAUUUAUCUCCCUAACAUAUGGCCUUAAAGACAAAAUUGAAUGCCGAAUAUACAAUAGAGAUGAGAUUUAGGAUAUUUUGUUCACCAAUAGACUGUUAUCGUUGAAUGUUCUCUAAAUUAUGAGUGUGAUAUAAACUUUGAAGUGGAUAGGUAUCACUACCGUAGAUUAUGAUGGACGAUGCCAUGGCUUGGCUUCUAAACUCAUGCCAAGCCGUUGGCAACAACGGGGGUGUGGUUGUAAAUGAACAAGAAAGCAAGGCAAGAUUGGCACGCAGGCUGAGGCGUGACAGCUAACGCAUGCUAUGAGACAAGUGUGGGAAGCGCCAGACAUUACACGCAGCCCACGGACGCCACAUCUUACAAGUGUUCAGGCGCAAAGCAUGCACACAGUACACAAGCUGAGUUGGAUAGAAUGCGAGAUGGCACAAGGUAGUAACGCUAAGGCAUGUAUGGGCAGCGCAUAUGCUAGUAGGUAGUGGGCAUAAAAGUGUGCAAGGAAGCACGUAAAUGGGUAAUGUACAAUAGGGGUGGGCAUUCGGAUCGGGUUAACCAGAUCCAAAUCGAACUCGAAAUUUAUUUCGGAUUCGGUUCGGUUCUGGUUAACAUAUAAAAUCCGAACGGGUUGAAAAUUAUAACCUGAUCGGAUUUUAAAUUUUGUUCGGGUUGAACCCGAACCGAAUUUAAAAACUGAUCGGGUUGGACCUUAAAAAUUAAAUCUCUCUCUCACCAUUCACGCACGCCCAAUUCCAAUUUCAAGAUCCCUAAAGUAACUGCUUAAGCCUUCAAUAAUCCCCCUCUUCUCAUCUUCUUCCACAAUAGCAGCACAACCCUCCUCCUAGCGCAGCCCACAGAUGUUCAGCCGACGCCCAUGCUGCGGCUCACUCACCUCACGACUGACUCACUCUCACUCCACCGCCCGUUCGCUUUCGAUCAAGCUGUUGUCGCUUCUAUCUUUGCCAUCGCCUCCGACUGUUUCCAAUCCAUCUUUGCAACCAGUAGGUUACUUAUUAUUUUUUUAUUAUUGUUAUUAAUUUAUUAUUAUUAUAAACAAUCGCCGUAUGUUCCUGGUUCAUGCUCUCAAUUGGUUUGUCAUGAAGCAAAAUGUAUUAAAUAUUAUUGAUUGAUGCAUGUCUUUCAUAGCAUAAAGUGGCUUAGAUUGGAGCUUUUCUGAAAAAGUGAAAAUUUCAUUUAAUUAUUUAGUAUUCACGGAUAAGAAAUAGACUUCAUCUUUUUUCUAAUGCCACACGUCUAGAGAGCUUUGCCUGUGUUUUAGUUGGAUAAAAAUUGUUGCAAAUGUCACACGAGAGGAGGGAAGCAUAAAAGGUUUAACCCGAAUGAACCCGAAUUAUCAAACUGAACCAAUCCGAAUUGUGAACCCGAACCAAACCGAAAUAAUUUUGGUUCGGUUUGGUUUGGGUUAGCAUUUUCAACCCGAUUGGGUUCAAUUCUUCAACUCGAACGAGUUGUAACCCAAACCAAAACCCGAACAAUCCGAACCGAAAUCUGAUUUGCCCACCCCUAAUGUGCAACACAUUACAUGGGGGACAAACUACGCAAAUAUGAGAGGCAUGCAUUCGAAUUACAUGUACAAGCUAUGUUCAAGCAAUGGCGGUCGAAUGUUAGCCUUGGUGGUUGGAGUUCUCUGGAAAUAGGUCCUAGAAGUGGGUAGUUAUCGGUGCAACUAAUAGGACAUGACCUUAAAAUUCACACUAGACAUAGGUGUUCACCUUAUAGGGUGGAGAGACUAAAGGUUAUAAUGUCAUACCAUAAGUAUAUUAGCAACUGGUCAUUGUUAAUAGAUUUAAGGGUAUGAGACUUCCAAUAUGCGAUAGUUGAGGAUGCAGAUUUAUUCUGCCCAGUACUGCAGCACUUGCUGUAACAACUGGUGCUAACUUGAUAAACAACAGUCACCCCAUAAGGAGAGUUUGAUCAUUCAACUACUAUAAUCUCAAUUGAAACUUAGACACAUUUAACCUAGUUUAUUUCAUUACGGUAUUGUUUUAUUUAAUUCUCUCACAAUCAUUAAUUACGAUAUAAAUUACUUCACAAUUGUUUGCUUCGGUCUUAAGUUGUUUUGCACUAUUGCGAUUGCUUUAGCAUUUCGAGUAACAUCAAUCUCUGUGGAGACGAUCUUGAAUACUCAUCACUUUAUUACUUGUUGUGUAUACUUGCACAUUGGCAUUGGUAGUAAUUGCUUAUAAAAUUAACCAACAAGUUUUUGGCGCCGUUGCCGGGGAUUGAUUGUUUAUUUUUUAAGUGUGAAGUAAAUUUUGAUAGUGCCAAAUUUGAUUUGAUUCAUUCUAUUUAUUGGCAGAUCGGUACAUGCAUGCGCAAAGACAGAUCUGUGGCAUUCCAAUUCGAUCCUGAGAUUGAAAGGACUGUCAGGAGACUGCGAAGAGAACAAAGGAAUUCAAACACUGUUUCAAGCAUGAAUAAUUUACAGGAUGCGGGAAAUUUGAAUCCUCACGGGCCCUUACAACCAGUCAACAUUCAAGAAGAGCAGAAUGAACAUGCUAAUGGGAGACAGCCAGGCAAUAACAAUAUUAUCUACAUGGCUGAUGACAGAGACAGAGUUAUAAAAGAUUAUGCUGUGUUAACCCCUCAAGUUGUACACCUUGGUAUCAUCAGACCUGAAGUAGAAGCUGCAAAUUUUGAGUUGAAGCCAGUGAUGUUUCAAAUGUUACAAACAGUUGGUCAAUUCAAUGGAUUGCCAAAUGAAGAUCCUCAUCUCCAUCUUAAAUUGUUCUUGGAAGUAAGUGAUGCUUUCAAGAUUGCUGGAGCAACACAAGAUGCCUUAAGGCUGAGGCUUUUUCCUUAUUCCUUACGAGAUCGAGCAAGAGCAUGGUUAAAUUUGUUACCAUCUGAUUCCAUUACUACAUGGAAUGAAUUGGCUGAUAAAUUCCUAAUGAAAUAUUUCCCACCGACAAAAAAUGCAAAGUUGCAGAAUGAGAUUACUUCCUUCCAUCAACUUGAAGAUGACAGUUUGUACGAGGCUUGGGAAAGAUUCAAAGAAUUGCUCAGAAGGUGUCCUCAUCAUGGUAUUCCUUGUUGCAUUCAAUUGGAAACUUUUUACAAUUGGUUGAAUCCGAGUACGAGGUUAAUGGUGGAUAUUUCAGCAAAUGGAGCCCUGUUAUUCAAAUCUUACACUGAAGCUUAUGAAAUUCUGGAGAGAAUUGCCAAUAAUAAUUAUCAGUGGCCUUCAGCCAGGCAACCAGCAGCAAGAGGACCAGCAGGGGUACAUAACAUAGAUGCAAUUACAGCCUUAUCAACGCAAGUAACCUCAUUGACUAACAUGGUAAAGGCCAUGACAUCUGCUCCAGCAACAGUAAAGCAAGUUGCUGAAUUUUCUUGUGUAUACUGUGGUGAAGAACAUGACUUUGAUAAUUUUUCUAGAAAUCCAGCUUUAGUAAACUUUGUGGGUAAUUUCAAUCGACAACCUCAGAACAACUCAUAUUCAAAUACUUACAACCCUGGCUGGAAACAAUACCCAAAUUUCUCAUGGACCAGUCAGAAUCGAAAUGCGCUUGCAUUAAAUGGACAAAAUAGAAACCCACAACCACCUGGUUUUCAUCAGCAGAGUCAAGGGAAAAAACAUAUCAGUUAGGAUCCAAUCACUUCACUGAAAGCAAUGAUUAAGGAGUACAUUGCAAAGAAUGAAGCAAUUGUGCAGAGUCAAGUUGUAUCCUUGAGAAACCUGGAGAACCAAAUGGGGCAACUAGCCACAGCAAUGAGCAGCAGAACUCAAAGAAGCUUACCUAGCAAUACAGAAGACCCUAGAAGAGAGAGCAAAAAACACUGCAAGGUAAUUAAUUUGAGAUCUGGAAAGAAUGUUGAUACCCUAGUUGAUGUGACAAAAAAUGAGAUGAAAUUCAAUUCAGCACAAAAACCGCCUCAAAAUGGAAGCAUGUUACAACAAGCCCCCCACCAAGACACUGGUUAUAUGAGCCAAGCUAUAGCAACUGCAAAGGAAAUUUAACUAGAACAUGCUGAAAAAGAGGUUGCAACACCAGUAGCCACAACCUACACCAAACCGAACAAGCAGAGUUUGAUACCUCCUGAAGCUACUAAGCAGUUUAGACAUCCACCACCUUUCCCAUAAAGGUUCCAGAAGGAAAAACAAGAUAAGCAGUUCAGCAAAUUCCUGGAAGUGCAGAAGCAAUUACACAUAAAUAUACAUUUUGUGGAAGCUUUGGAGCAAAUACCAAAUUAUGUGAAAUUUCUAAAAGACAUCUUGGCAUGAAAAAGAAGGAUGGGAGAGUUUGAAACUGUUGCUUUAACACAGGAAAGCAGUCAUAUGCUUCAAAUUAAGAUUCCUACAAAAGUGAAAGAUCCAGGGAGUUUUACAAUACCCUGCUCUAUAGGAACUAGGUAUGCUGGCAGAGCACUUUGUAACCUGGGAGCUAGUAUUAAUUUGAUGCCAUUGUCUGUAUUUAAGCAGCUGGGAGUAGGGGAAUGCAGACCAACAACAGUCACUCUGCAAUUAGCUGACAGAUCUCAUGCAUACCCUGAAGGAAAAAUAGAUGAUGUACUAGUGAAGGUUGACAAAUUCAUCUUUCCAGUGGAUUUCAUUGUACUGGACUUUGAAGCUGAUAAAGAGGUACCCAUUAUACUUGGAAGACCUUUUCUAGCAACUGGAAAGACUCUGAUAAAUGUGUAGAAAGGAGAGCUCACCAUGAGAGUAAAUGAUCAACAAGUCACAUUUAAUGUACUAGAGGCUAUGAGGAACCCUGAUGAAGUAGAAGAUUGUAAUUUCUUAAGUGUAGUGGAUUUUGUUGGAGCAGACAAAAUGGACAGAUGCUGCAGUAAUGCACUCGACAAAGUCACUACCUUUGAGGAUGUAGAAGAGGAAGAUGUUGCAGCAAUUCAGACAAAUUGGAUGGACAAAAAGCAAUUUGAUAGGCACAAUAGGUUUAUUAAACACCUGAAUCUUUCAGACAGGGAAGUAAAAAUAACUUUACCAUCUAUUGAAUCACCUCCUAGUCUUGAAUUAAAAUUGUUACCUUCACAUUUGAAGUAUGCUUAUCUUGGUCAAAACAACACUCUCUGUAAUCAUUUCUUCUACUUUGGAUGCAGGUCAAGAACAGAGUCGAGUAGAUUUGUUUGGAAAAUACAGAAAAGCAAUUGGAUGGACCAUGGCAUAUAUAAAAGGGAUAAGCUCAUCAAUAUGCAUGCACAAAAUCCUGUUAGAAGAUUGCUCCAGCAAUUCAGUGGAGCACCAGAGAAGGUUGAACCCUAUUAUGAAAGAAGUAGUGAAGAAAGAAAUCAUUAAAUGGUUGGAUGCUGGAAUCAUAUACCCAAUAUCAGACAGUUCAUGGGUUAGCCCAGUUCAAUGUGUUCCAAAGAAAGGAGUGAUAACAGUAAUAGCUAAUGAGAAUGAUGAAUUUAUUCCUACAAGGACAGUGACUGGAUGGAGAGUAUGUAUGGAUUACAGGAAGCUCAACAAAGCCACAAGGAAAGACCAUUUCCCACUUCCAUCAUAGAUCAGAUGCUGGACAGACUUGCUGGAAAAUAAUACUAUUGUUUCUUAAAUGGGUAUUUAGGCUACAACCAGAUUGCUAUAGCUUUAAAAGAUCAAGAGAAUACUACAUUUACUUGUCCUUAUGGAACAUUUGCCUUCAGAAGAAUGCCCUUUGGGUUAUGCAAUGCUCCAACAACUUUUCAGAGAUGCAUGAUGUCUAUAUUUUCUGAUAUGGUAGAGCAGACUUUAGAAGUUUUCAUGGAUGACUUCUCAGUUUUUGGAAAAACAUACAAUGAUUGUUUACACAACUUGGAAGAAGUCUUUAAAAGAUGUGAGAUGACCAACUUAGUACUCAAUUGGGAAAAGUGUCAUUUCAUGGUGCAAGAAGGAAUAGUGUUGGGUCACAAGGUAUAAAAGAAUGGCAUUGAGGUAAACAAAGCCAAGAUAGAGGUAAUAGAUAAACUGCCACCUCCAACUUCAGUAAAAGGUAUUAGGAGUUUUUUGGGUCAUGCUGGAUUAUACAGAAGAUUUAUUAAGGUUUUUUCCAAAGUAGCUAAACCACUAUGCUCAUUGCUUGAACAUGACAAACCUUUUCACUUUGACAAAGAUUGCCUUCAAGCAUUUGGAGAAUUAAAGAAAGCUCUGAUCACUGCUCCAGUAGUUAUAUCUCUAGAUUGGACUUUACCAUUUGAACUGAUGUGUGAUGCUAGUGAUCAUUAUGUGGGAGCAAUAUUAGGGCAAAGAAAGGAUAAGGUUUUUCAUUCCAUAUACUAUGCAAGCAAAACUUUUACUCAAACUCAGAUCAAUUACACCACUAUAGAAAAAGAGUUGCUAGCAUUAGUAUUUACUUUUGACAAAUUCAGAGCUUACUUGGUGGGUACUAAAGUAACUGUUUACACAGACCAUGCAGCCAUCAAAUACUUAAUUUCAAAGAAGGAUGCCAAACCAAGAUUAAUCAUAUGGAUCUUAUUGCUUCAAGAAUUUGAUCUGGAAAUUAAAGAUAGAAAGGGGACUGAGAAUCAAGUGGCAAACCACUUAUCACAGCUGGAAGCAGACACUAGUACCUUGAUAAGGAGGGGCAUCACUGAAACAUUUCUUGAUGAACAGCUGUUGGCAAUACAGCAAGCACAGAUGCUGCAGCAGUCAGGACCCCCAUGGUAUGCAGAUUUUGCUAACUACCUAGUAAAUGGGAUGCUACUAACUGAGCUGAAGUUUCAGGAGAAAAAUAAAUUUCUUCAUGAUGUUAGAAGUUAUCAGUGGGAUGAUCCACAUUUAUAUAAGUUAUACUCAGAUAAAGUAAUACGAAGAUGUGCUUCCGAAGGAGAAAUACACCACAUACUAGAGUCAUGUCAUGCUGCAGCAUAUGAAGGACAUUUUGGUGGUCAUAGAACAACUGCUAAAGUUCUGCAAUCAGGUUACUACUGGCCUACUAUUUUUAAAGAUGCUUAUCAAUUUGUUAAAUGUUGUGACAGGUGCCAAAGGACAGGGAACAUAACUAAAAGACAUGAAAUGUCAUUGACUAACAUUCUAGAAGUGGAAGUUUUUGAUAUCUGGGGAAUAGAUUUUAUGGGACCUUUUCCACCAUCCUUUAGGAACUUAUAUAUCCUUGUUGAUGUGGAUUAUAUCUCCAAGUGAGUAGAAGCUUCAGCAUUACCUACCAAUGAUGUUAAAACAGUGGUGGCUUUUCUACAGAAAAAUAUUUUUUCCAGGUUUGGCACUCCUAGAGCAAUUAUUAGUGAUGAGGGUACACAUUUUUGCAACAAAGUCUUUGCUGCAACUAUGAUGAAAUAUGGAGUCAGACACAAGGUAGCAACAGCAUAUCACCCACAAUCCAUGGUCAGGCCGAAAUGUCCAACAAAGAAAUUAAAAAGAUCUUAGAAAAAGUGGUGAACCCAACGAGGAAGGAUUGGUCUUUACACUUACAUGACUCUCUAUGGGCCUACAUAACAGCAUACAAAACUCCACUCGGCAUGUCUCCUUACCGAAUUGUUUAUGGAAAGGCUUGUCAUUUGCCACUAGAGCUAGAGCAUAAAGCACACUGGGCACUGAAGAAAUUAAAUUGGGACAUUCAUGCUGCAGCAGAGCAAAUGAAGCUUCAACUUUGUGAGCUUGAUGAAUUACGACUAUUUUCAUAUGAAAAUGCAAGAAUCUAUCAAGAGAGGACAAAACACUGGCACGAAAAACAUAUUCAACACAUGCAAUUCAACCCUAGUCAAUUAGUGUUGCUACACAAUACAAGACUAAGAUUAUUUCCGGGAAAGCUCAAGUCACGAUGGUCUGGCCGUUUAAGCUGUUAAAAUUUUAUCCUCAUGGAGCUGUUGAUCUUCUAGAUGAACAAACAAGUCAAGAAUUCAAAGUUAAUGAACACUGGGUUAAGCAUUACAUACAUCCAGCGCCCGAUUGUUCAAAAGAGGUGUUACUCCUUAAAGAACCCAGCUAUUGAACAAUGAAAGAAUGUCAAGCUGAAGGACCUUAAAUCAAGCGCUCCAUGGGAGGCAACCCAUUGUGGAGACAGCCACUUUAAACCAACUUUGAUCUCCUUUAAGUGCAGAGGUGAGCCACGUGUCAGAGGCUUUAGUGUGGAGUAUGUAACCGUUGCUAGAGUAAGCGAAUGGGUGCUGCAGCAACCAAUUUUACCGUUACAGUAAAUUAAAAGAUGGAGCCUCUCACUUACCGUUGGAAAUAAAUCAUGACAGAUGGAGGGACAUUAGCCUCAAUUUGUUACUACUACAGCAAUGCCGAGGUAUAAGAAAACAGCCAGCCGCCUCAAAGAUCCGUCACGCUUCCAGAGUUACCACGCUGAAGAAAAAUAUGAGGAAUUCAUAGAGCCGUGUAAGAUUCUGGAAGAAAAAGGGUUUCAAUUUCCAGAACAACUCACUGGAAUUGUGCAAACAAUUCACAAUGCUGCAGCAAAGCGAGAAUGGUUAGAGUUUUGCAACCACCCUCGGGAUCCUGUGGUACCAGUAGUCAAAGAAUUUUACGCCAAUUUGGUAAGCCCUGAUCAGCACAACAUUUGGGUAAGAAACACACUUGUUCCAUUAGACUCCCGUGUUAUAAAUGGCUUUUAUAAUUUACCUGCUGAAAUUAAUUGUGAGUAUGCCAAGUUGCUUGAUAAAUUGACCCCGAAAAAGUGGAACACCAUUUUCACAACUCUUACAAUCGAAGGGGCAUCAUGGGCUAACGAGGACGGACGUGUAGUUAAUAGGAUAGAUUUGAAACCGUGAAAUUUCUGAAAUCUAGGCUUAUGCCCACCACUCAUACUACUACGGUUUCACAAGAGAGGUUGGUCUUGUUAUAUGUCAUUGUUUGAGGGCUUCUCAUAGAUGUGGGUAGCAUCAUCGCAAAAGAAAUCCGGGAUUGUGCAGUUAAGUCUCACUGAACUGCUGCCUUGCUAUUUCCUUCACUCAUCACCAGCAUUUGUGUAGUUUUUCGGUGUUCGUCUUGACACACGAGAUGACCAUGUCAAGAACGAUGGUGCGCACCAUUGAGAGAGUUGCUGGUGAGAGUGCGGGAAUAACCACUGAACCAGCUGUUGUAACAGGUGCAGGACGGGCUAUUGGCUUAGAACAGACUAUCCAGGCACUCAGCACCAAUAUAACUCAAUGUGCGGAAGCUCAGCAGAGGGAAAACGAUCGGUUUUGGAGUUGUCUACAGCACCUGGACAACCAACUACACCAAUUUGCUCUGUACAUGACACGCACUCACAGGAACUUCCCUGAUUCAUUGCUCCAGCAGUAUAAUUUUGACAGCAACACCACAGGUGCUCCAGCAGAAGCCAGUGAAGAAGCCACUGCCACAGAUGAGCCAGCAGAAGAAGCUGCAGCUGAACAUAAGUAGAGGUAGAAUCAAAAGAUAUUGAACCAUCUGAGGAAGAAGGUGACAAGUCUGAGACUGAUAGCUCACCCACAGAGGCAGAGGACAACUCGGAGAAAGAACGUGAGGAACCUUCUAUCCCAACUCAGUCCAAAACCAGGAAAAAGCACAUUAUUCAAGAAGAUGAGGAGGAAGACCUUGAAGAGGAACCGUCUAUUCCAGUCUUUGCGGGAAAGGGAAAGGGCAAGGGUAAAGCAAAAAUGACAACACCUCUAGCCUUUGACGAUGAAAUGGAGCAAGUUGAUGCUGAGCUGGCUGCUGCAGUAACCAGAGUUAUGUCUACACCUGCAGAAGCCAAGCAACUACUUGCUAUCACAGCUGAGGGCCAGGCAGCUGAUGCAUCAACUCCAAUUCCUCCACAGCAAACUCCUAGCCAGCCUGUUCGUACCAGUCCGCAACAAUACAGCAAAAGAAAAGGCAGUACGUCUAAAGGCACUGCUACAGCAACCCCAGCCACAACUCCUCUCACAAGCCCCGUGAAGAAAAAGACAAAGACAUUGUCAGCUACUUCCCCACAAGUUUUACCAAAGUAUAAGCUGCGCAGUGCAUCCAAGAAGCGCUGAUAGCAUCCCGUCAUGUGCUGCAGUCCCCACCACAGGGGAGUAUUCUUUCCUUGCUAGUUCACUUCAUUAAAAAAAAAACAUUUUUUCCUUCUAUUUGUCAAUUUGUGUGGUAUUUUCUAAGGUCUUUCAUAUCCUUGUCAGUUCGUGUGCCCUUGUUAUGUAUGCUUGUGAGGACACAACAACUCUCAAGUUUGGGGGGGUCGUGUUUCCGAAUGCAUGUGUUUAUGUUUCUGUUGUGUGAAGCUAUGUUAUCUAAUAUUUGUGUAUGGAUUUGAAAACCUAAUGAAGAUAAAUUGAGUGUUAUUCAGUAUUUAUGAGAAUGCCAAGUAGAGAUAGUUAUAGAUGGAAGUGAAAUUCUGUCCCGACACUUAGACUUUGGUUGAAUUGUAUGAGACUGCUAGAGCAGAGCUAAAAGAAUAGAAAAGAGCUUAAGUUUGGGGGGAGAAGCAAGUUUGAUUGACUGUGAUAUCUAUGAAAUAAACUUUGUUCCAAUGGCUCAAGUUGCUGAGUAACCAGAUCUGAGUAUGUACCCCAUAUGCAGAAUUGUGUUCAAAGGUAGCGAGAGUUAUGAGCAAUGCUGUUCAUGAGCCCCAUAUUCAGCCUUGAGUAAAAGAUACCUCUAGAUAAGAUUAUACUGCAAAUAUUGCUGCAGUAACUCUGAUCUGGGCAUGGUUUGAGUAAUUGGGUGUCCUCAUUACAAGUGAUUGACAUUCACAUGAAAGAUAAAUGUUACAGUGAGGAGGUUGAUUACUCCCCAGUUUAUCAAUAUUAAAAUCAUCACAGUUUGAGUAUGUGAAACUUGUGCUACCCCAUUUAUGAAUGAAGUGUUAUCACUGCUGAAAUUCAUGUAGUCCCUUGGUGAUGUUAUAGCAUCUCUGGAAUUCAAUCAAAGGAGCACACACACACUAUGGACAGAAAGAAGCUUAAGUCUAGAACUGAUUUACUAUGGUCAUUUUGCAUGAUUGGGAUUGUGAUCUGAAGGUGGAAAAAUCCUUGCAAAUUUGAUAAAAGAGCUAAAAUUACGUGCAUGAUUGUUUGUCGGAAGUGUUAGUAUGUGUCAUUACUUGAGGGCAAGUAAUGGUUUAAGUUUGAGGGUGUGAUAACUCUAGGAAAUCAGAGUUGUUACAUCAAUUCUAGACUUAAAUCAAGAUCAUUUAGAGAACAAAUAAGGUGUUUUUAUUACAUUUUGGUUACAUUUUGCAUAAACAUUCAUUUUAGUUGAGUCUUAAUAAGUUUUGCUUGAAUCAAAGUAAUUUGUGCUAAAAAUAAGUGCAUAAUUGUAGGUUUUCAGAAAGUCUUAAUUCAUGAGAGGAUGUUGAGACAUUAGAUGAGCAAGAGGAGGAAAGAAUGUCUAGUAUUACUGUAAGUGUAAUGAUCAAUUUUUUUUCUUUAUUUGUUAGCACUUUGCAAUGAUCUAAAUAAAUAGUUAUAAAUAAUAAAUAAGGUAAAUGUUCUUUCAAUCCCUAUAGAUUAAACCAAUUACUCAAUUAGUUUUUGUGCUCUCAUGUUGUUAUUUUUGUUGGAAUUAGAUUUAAUUUUUCAAGGGUGAAAUGGUAUUUAUAUCUGAUAUUGUUUAAAAUUGAAAUAAAUUUGACAAGAAACUAUGAACAAUAGAUGACGAAUCAGAUUUCAUGGAAUUAUAUAUAUAGUAAGGCCAGGGAUGACAAAACCUGGGGUUGGGCCCAGGAAUGGCAAAUCCUAGCUCCGACACGGACAUGUUUUUUGAACACCUAGGCUAGGCAUUUUGUUCGAGCUUCAAAAGCCUUGGAUUUUAUAUUUUAUAAUAUUAAGUAUGUAUAUGUUUAGAUUUAUAUAUUUUUUAUUUUUUAUUUUUUUCAAUGAAAUUAGGCAUGAAAUAUGAAUUUAAAUGUUCAAAAAUUUUAACGUAUGUAAUAGAUUGGCCGAAUAAAUAUAAUUAUUUAAAAUAAUAUAUUUUUUAUAAUUUUCUUAUCAAAAUUAGAAUUUUGGACACUAUUGAUUGUCCGGGGCUAUGGCCUGACCUCAUCCCUUGACUAGAUAUUACUUGGCCCAUAUCGCGUAAGUUCUGUCCAAGUCCGAUUGCGCGGAUAUUUUUGACACCCCUAAAUAAGAUUUUAAUGCAAUUAUCCAUAUUUAAUUUGGUCACUUUAUCAACUAGUAAUAAAAUUUCUGUACUUUUAUCAAAAGUGCGACCUUAUGUCCAAUGAACCUCGAUUACUAAAAUGAUCUCAAAUUUCAUCAAUGCAUUUUAUAAAAUGAACUAAAAAAAUGGAAACAAUUGAAUUUGAAUGCUUUCAAACUCGGGCAAAACUAUGGUACCACAGUAGUACCAUACCACAGCUGGAUUCAGCCAUUGGAUCCAGCCUAUAGUUGUCACCAAAACUAAAUCCAAUGGCUGGAUCCAGCUGUGGUAUGGUACCACUGUGGUACCAUAACUGGACCCUUCAAACUCAUUAACAAAAUAAUAUUGAAACUACUUGUGUAACAAAUAGGGCGCUAAGUGAGAUGAACCCUUUAUUAGUAAAAUUUUUUGUUUUCUGUGUAAAGAAAAUUUUACGAAUACAAUAAAAUUUAAAAAGAGAUUAAAAAGAAGAAAAAUAUGAUAUGAAUAUAAAUGGUAUGAGACAAACACCGAUGCGCAAUUCCAAUAAGAAAACAAUUUUUUAUUUGAUUAAAUAACUUCAUACAAGGAAAAUGCCAAAAUCAAGGGUUCGGUGUUGUUUGUUUUUUCACUUAAUAUUGAAACUAGAUCCAGCUAUUUUCAAUUUUUUUUGUUUUUAAAUUAACACCGAAAAUUUAUCAAAUAAGUUUGAAUAAAAUUAAGUGUGAAAAAGAAUAACUUAACAUUUAAUGUUGAAUGCUAGAUGGAUUAUUUAACUUUUACUUUCGAAACUACCAUCAUAUUGAAUCCAUUCUAGCGCUAAGUUUACUAAACAAUUUUAUCAUAUGGUUGUUCACUUCUUGCUGACCAUUUGAAAGUGAUUCUAUUGUUUUCUCCAAUUUUAUCAUAGGAUUUGUCUGCUUUUCCCCUGCAUAUUUUGUGAAAUAAAGAUAGAAUCUGAAGUUGGCAGCAUAAAUAAGCUCAUUUGAGAAGCACAUAAUUUUAGGGGUGGUCACGCAUUGGUUGGAUAAGAUUUGUGAAUACUCAAUCUAAACCACUAUUGAAUGGGUUGAUAUAAAAUCAAUUCAAUCCAACCCAAUAAAUAUGCUCAAUCCAAUCCAACCUGACCCUUAAAUCAUCAGGUUGGGUUGGGUUGAUCAAGUUGAAAAUUUGAAUGUCAAAUUAAAAUUAAAAUUAAAAAUUUAAUAAAAAAGAUAUAAGACUUAAAACGAGACUUAUUAAAAUUAAAUGUAAAUAUAUUAUAACAUAAAAAUUUCAUUCAUGGUCUAGCAUUCGAUAAAGAAAGCUAAAAACACUUAAAUGUGUGGUCACCUAGAAUUUGUAAGGCCUAUAAAUACAUGGCCAUGUCUCCGACUGAAGCAAUGAAGUUAAGAAUAACUAAAUUUUUCACUAGUAAAAUACUUUCCACUAAUCAAAUAUUCCUAAUAAAAAAUAUUUCCACUUUAAUUAUUUUAGCCUACUAUCUACCCCUGCUCCAACUCCUAUGCCUUCCACUUCCUUAAUUCUUGGGAAUCGAAUCUUAAAAAUUUUUUAUAUCAUGGAAUUAAAGGAGGAAAGAUCAAAAUGAAAGAGUAUGAUAAGUUUCUUUUGAAAAAUGAAUUAUUUUUUCAACAUUUCUUUGAUAACGUAUCAUUCUCACUAUAAACUAUAUUGUGAUUAUUUUAUGUUGUUUGCUUAUUUUAUUUUAUAUCUUUGGUUACUACAGCAUUUUUCUAGAGUAAAAAUAUAUAAAAGCUUCAAAAUAGGCAUGGAGUUCCAUGCAUAUUCUGUUAUUCCGUCUUUCGAUUUAUUGACACAUUGACACAAAACAAGGAUAGAACUAGUUUCAGAGACAACUUAAAGUUGAAAAUUACAUAAAUUAAGCUUCUUAUUCAAAAGCCGUACGUGCUGGUUUUGGGGGGUCAAUGAGAAAAAUGUCAAGAAGUUGAUCGAUUGUGGUGAAUUUAAAAUCUGGAUACAGCUUUGAAGCUUCAAUGUCAUCCUCUCCAAGUUCAAAGUUCAUCGAGUCACCCUUUGCAAGUAGGCUGUGCAUGAUGGAUAUUGGUAUGUCUUCUGGAGGUGGUAAGGCUGCAACAAUUGAAAAAUUAAUAGGUUGUAAUAAACAAUAUCAAUUAAGUGUAAAAAUGAAUGAGAUGUCAAAGAGAUCGAAGCUUAUGAAAUCUUAUAGUUAGGGGUGGAACUAGGCAGAGACGAAGAUAUGAAUUUUUCUUAGAAUGAGUUAACUAAAAUUUUUUCAAUUUAAAAAAAUCUAAAAUAAAAGCUGUUACAUCACCCUAACAUUAAAUAAGUACUUUCAGGUUUGAGAAAUACUUUAUUAAUUGACUUCAUUUAACAAGAAAAAUUAUCCUAUGUACACCAUACCCAAUUUGGCACAAUUAAAUAGUUUUUAUUUUAUUGACUUUCUUAAACUUUUUAAUUAUCUAAUAAUACUCGGAUUGUGGGGUAUUGUACGCUUAGUUAGAUACUAACUUCAAACAAUCAACAGUCAAAUGAGUGAUAAAUAUCAUACACGAGAAACAUAUUAGGUUAUGGCAAAAAUUUAUAAAAGAUGAGCGCCUGCUUUGAAAUUUAACCAAAAAACAAAUUUACGUAUUGACCCUACUAGAUUAUACUUUGGGCCCAUAGAAUGGAACAUCAUUCCGGUUCCGCUCCUGCUUGCAUUGAUUUUAUCUUUUAUGACUUUAUAUAAAAGUGAAUAAUUUUAUUAAACAAAAAAUUAAAUCAAAAAUCAAAAUUCUUACUAUGAGAUAGCUUUACUAGCUCUUCCUCAGAAACUUGAAUUCUUUUAAAACUCUGUCCAAUCUUCUGUUCCUAAAGGGAGAUCAAUUCAAGAUGUGAUAAAAUGUUUGUUUGCGGUCAAUAAAUCGCAAUUCGAUUGCAUGUCCUUGGAUCAUUUAUCACUUUUAUUGUACAUUUAGCUAUAUCUUCCUCGUAAUUAAAGACAACUGAAAUAGAUAAAUAGAUGAUAGAACAUCAAAAAGAUAUUCAAAAAAAUGAAAUUUUAGUGUAAAUUUUAUUUUAAUAUGCGUGGACUUCUGCAUUGGGAAGGUAUACGUACCUUUUGCUUCACCACUUCCAUAAACAACAACAUCAUCAUGUGAUUCAAAUGGACGAAGCAAGACAUUCACAAAGUAAGCACCACAGAGAUUUGCUGAGACAAAGGUGUAGGGAAUUUGAGCUGCUUCUAUUGCCCUUCUUACUAUUCGUUUUUUCUCCAAGUAAGCUUCAAAAGGGGGCAGAGGCCUCACCCUGUCCUCUUCACAUCCAAACUCAGAUGGAAGAAACCUCUAGCAACCAAAACAUAGUGUGUUUAAGAUUUGUUCUAUAUAAACAAAUUGAAGCAAUGCAGCACUGAAUUGUAAAAAGACACUAAAAUGUUACCAAGACACAAAUACGAAAUUAAAGUUUGUGAUUUUAGGUAUUUUGCUAAUUAAGUAGUGCUGGUAUAUAUUUUUAUGUCUUUUAUAACUAACUACUAUUGCGUAGUUUAAAUCUACAUUUACAAAAUGCGGACGUCUACACUUAAAAGUUUCUAAUAUUUUUCAAUUAGCAAACAAACUAUAUUUCAAUUUCUCCCCCCAAAAAAAAAAAAGCACGAUUUGGUUUAUUUUUUAAAAAAGAAAGAGCUCAAUCAAAUACCUUGAUGUUACCCGCAACUUUGAUGGCAUGAACAAUUUCCAGUUGAUCAAGAAACUGAGGAUAAGCUACAGUAGAUAUCACCACAUCUACUUCCUUAAGUAUAGAUACAAUUUUCUUGUGCUCGUCCAGCUCUCCCUGUUUUAAUUUCAACACUAUUAUUACAAAUAAUAUCGAAGGGCUCCAAUUAGAUCAACACAAAAUUAAUCUCAUAAAAAGAAGUAUAAGAGGUCUGAGGUUCGAAUUUCGCGCGUGCAUUUAAAGGGGGAAAAAAGAGGAAAAAAAAAAAAGAAACAAAACCAAAGGAGAUCGAGAUAAUUGAGUAAUGAAGUAACCUCAAUAAUGGUGACGCCAAUACCCUGAAAUUCCUUGUGGAUUUCAAGCUUGGAGGGUCUUGAAUUUUGUGUAACAGGUCGAGCAUAAACAAAAGUUUUGUGACCAGAAGAAACACUUGCUUUCACCAUAUACUUACCGAGGUAUCCAGUACCCCCAAAGAUAAGUUUCUUUGGUUUUGUGUUCUCACCUUCCAUUUCUUCCUUUCAUUUCAAUUUAUCUUUUCAUAUUCCCUUCCCUUUUUACACAUUUAUAUGUUGAAAAUGUGAGACUCGACAGUUCAUGCGGAUAUAAUUGCUGCAAACGAACGGAUAUAAUUGAAGAAACAAAUUUAUGAAUGCUAGAAAUAUCUAAGCAUCUAAUAAAUUUCUUUUAGACAGGUAGAAAUAUCUAUGCAAAAGUUGUUAAAAAUUAGCCACAACGAAAAAUGCUAAAUGUGUGGUCACCUAGUGUUUGUAAGGCCUAUAAAGACAUGGCCGUGUAUCCAAUUCAAGCAAGGAAGUUAAGAACAACAAAAUCUUCCACUAGUAAAAUCCUUUCCACUUCCCUUUAUCUUUGAUCAAAUAUUAUUGAUCAAAAAUAGUUUCCACUUUAAUUAUUUUAGCCCACUAUCUACCCCUGCUCCAACACCUGCCUUCUACUCCCUCAAUUUUUGGGAACCGAAUCUAAAAAUUUUUAUAUCAUUGAAUUUAAAGGGGGAAAGAUCAAAAUGGAAGAUCAGUAUGAUAAGUUUCUUUUGAAAAUGAAUUAUUUUUUCAAUAUUUCUUUGAUAAUGUAUCAUUCUCACUAUAAACUAUAUCGUGAUUAGUUAUGUUUUCUGCUUAUUAUUAUCAUUAUUUUAACAUCACAGCAUUUUUCUAUAUAGUAAAAAUAUAUAAAUGCUUAAAAAUAUGCAUGGAGUUCCAUGCAUGUUCUGUUAUUCUUUCUUUUGAUUUAUUGACACAAAACAAGGAUAGGACUAGUUUUGGAAACAUAAUUAAUUAAAGUCGAAAAUUACAUAAAUUAAGCUGCUUAUUCAAAAGCCGUACGUGCAGGCUUUGGGGGGUCAAUUAGAAAAAUGUCAAGAAGUUGAUCGAUUGUGGUGAAUUUAAAAUCAGGGUACAGCAUUGAAGCUUCAAUGUCAUCCUCUCCAAGUUCAAAGUUCAUCAAGUCACCCUUAGCAAGUGCGCUGUGUAUAAUGGAUAUUGGUAUGUCUUCUGGAGGUGGUAAGGCUGCAACAAUUGAAAAUGGAUAGGUUGUAAUGAACAGUAUUAAUUGAGUUUAAAAAUAAAUGAGAUGUCAAAGAAAUUGAGACCUCUGAAAUCUUAUAGUCAAGGGUGGAAUUAAGCAUAGGUGAAGAUAAGAAUUUUUCUUAGAAUGGGCUAACUAAUUUUUCUUUAUUUUUAAAAAAUUUUAAAAUUAAAGCUGUUAAAUCACCCUAACAUUAAAUAAAUACUUUUAGGUUUGGGAAACACACAAUUAAUUAACUUCAUUUAAUAAGAAAAAUUAUCCUAUUGUGACAUCAUACCCAAACUGGUAUAAUUAGAUAGUUUUUAUUUCAUUUUCUUGAUUUUUUAAUUAUCUAAUAAUGCUCAGACUGUGGGUUAUGGUACCCUUAGUUAAAUACUAACUUCAAACAAUUAACAUUCAAAUUAGUGAUAAAUAUCUUACACAAGAAACAUAUUUGGUUAUGGUAAAAAAAUUAUAAAUGAUGAGGGUCUGCUUUGAAAUUUAACCAAAACAAUUCACGUAUUGACCCACUAGAUUUACACUUUGGCCCAAUGGAAUAGAACAUCAUUCUGAUUCUGCUUGUAGUGAUUUUAUCCUUUUAUGACUUUAUAUAAAAGUAAAUAAUUUUAUUAAAAAAAUUAAAUAAAAAAUCAAAAUUCUUACUCUCAGAUAGCUUUACUAGUUCUUCCUCAGAAACGUGAACUCUUUUGAAAUUCCAUCCAGUCUUUUGUUCCCAAAGGGAGAUCAAUUCAAGUUGUGAUAUAAUGCUUGCUUGCGGUCGAUAAAUCACAAUUCGAUUGCAUGUCCUUGGAUCAUUUAUCACUUUGAUUGUACAUUUAGCUAUAUCUUCCUCGUAAUUAAAGACAGCUGAAAUAGAUAAAUAGAUGAUAGAACAUAAAAAAGAUAUUAAAAAAAUGAACUUUUAGUGUAAAUUUUAUUUUAAUAUGCGUGGACUUCUGCAUUGGGAAGGUAUACGUACCUUUUGCUUCACCACUUCCAUAAACAACAACAUCAUCAUGUGAUUCAGAUGGACGAAGCAAGACAUUCGCAAAGUAAGCACCACAGAGAUUUGCUGAGACAAAGGUGUAGGGAAUUUGAGCUGCUUCUAUUGCCCUUCUUACUAUUCUUUUUGUCUCCAAGCAAGCUUCAAAAGGGGGCAGAGGCCUCACCCUGUCCUCUUCACAUCCAAACUCAGAUGGAAGAAACCUCUAGCAACCAAUACAUAGUGUCUUUAAGAUCUGUUCUAUAUAAACAAAUUUGAAGCAGUGCAGCACUGAAUUGUAAAAAGACACUAGAAUGGUAAAAAGAUGCAAAUAUUAAAUUAGAGUUUGUGAUCUUAUAUAUUUUGCUAAUUAAGUAGCCUAUAGCUAACUACAAUUGCCUCACCUAAAUCUACAUUUACAUAGUGCGGACAUCCACAUUUAAAAGUUUCUAAUAUUUUUCAAUUAAUAAACAAACUAUAUUUCAAUUUCUCCAAAAAAAACAAAAGGACAACAAGCGAUUUAUUUUAUUUUUAAAAAAGAAAGAGCUCAAUCAAAUACCUUGAUGUUACCAGCAACUUUGAUGGCAUCAACAAUUUUCAGUUGAUCAAGAAACUGAGGAUAAGCUACAGUAGAUAUCACCACAUCUACUUCCUUAAGUACAGAUACAAUUUUCUCGUGCUCGUCUAGCUCUCCCUAUUUUAAUUUCAACAGUAUUAUUACAAAUAAUAUCGAAGGGUUCCAAUUACAUCAACACAAAAUUAAUCUCAUAAAAAGAAGUAUAAGAGGUUUGAGGCUCGAAUUUCGGGCGUGCAUUUAAAGAGGGAAAAAAAGAGCAAAAAAAUAAAUAAAUAAACAAAACCCAAGGAGAUCGAGAUAAUUGACUAAUGAAGUAACCUCAAUAAUGGUGACGCCAAUACCCUGAAAUUCCUUGUGGAUUUCAACCUUGGAGGUUCUUGAAUUUUGUGUAACAGGUCGAGCAUAAACAAAAGUUUUGUGACCAGAAGCAACACUUGCUUUCACCAUAUACUUACCGAGGUAUCCAGUACCCCCAAAGAUUAGUAUCUUUGGUUUUGUGUUCUCACCUUCCAUUUCUUCCUUUCACUUCAAUUUAUCUUUCAUCCUCCCUUCCCUUUUUACAUAUUUAUAUAUGAUAUCAGGAACUCACAUUUUUAGUGUUGAAAAUGUUAUACACACAGAAUCUGGUAAAUUUGUGUUUCUUGAAAAAGUUGCUUCACCUAAACUAUUAUUUUUUAAUUUUCAUCAAUAAUCAAUAUUCUUAACCACAUAAAUUUUAUCUCCAUUAUUGUUCCCCGAAAAAAAAAAAUAUUUAAUUAUAAAUUUCAAUAGCUAAAUGUAUUAUUAAAAUAUUUGAAUUUUUUCAACCACGAUAAAAAGAAGUCUAAUCCGACCAACAAGUGCUUAAUUUUCUACAUGUUGAAAAUUUGACUUGAAUGUGGGAAAACAUUAAAGACAAUAGGACAAAAUAAUUGAAAUCAUAAUUCUCUCUUGAUCUAGUCUUUAUAUGAGUAAAUUUUAUUAACACAAUUGGUGGUUAAUAAAUUAAAAAAAAAAUAGUUAAAUCUUAAUCUUAUACUAACACUAAAAUACAAGUGACAUAAGAUCUAUAAAAGAUCAAGAGUGUUCAGACUAAGGAUAUUAAUCCAAAUAAUUGCUCCGCAAAAGAGUGAUAAUGAAAUAGCAAAAUUCCUUGACAAUUUUGUUCAUGCAAUUAAAUACCAAGUGGUGAGAGCAAAAACAAAUAAAAGGCCAAAGCCUUUCGGCUUUAGAAUUGAAAAGGUGGGGCCCAUUUUGAAGAUUCUAUAAGUAAGCUUUUGGGUUUUGGACGAAGAGGAGAGUAGGGGUGGGCGCGGUUCGGUUCGGUUCGGUUUUUUACUAAAUUUUUCAUAAUCGUUCGAUUACGAUUAUUUUAAAAUCAUAAUCGCGAUUAAUCAAAUCACCAAAAUAAUCAAAUACUCGAUUAAUCGAAAUAAUUCGAUUCGGUUCGGUUCGAUUAUUUCGAUUAUGGACCUAUUGGAUCUAUUUUGAGUUUUUUUAAAUUUAAAGCCUUAAACUAAUAAAUCUACCAUAAACAUAAAAAGUUAACAAACAAAAAUUGUAAAAUAAAAUAAAAUAAAGCUUGCUACAAUAUUAAUUUCUAAGAGGAUAAAAUGUUUUGAGGAAGAAAAUGUUAAUCCAACAGGACACAAAUUCAUCAAUUGGAUUUCCAUUUAAGCAGCCUUCCAGACUGAGAAAGUGAGAAUCCCAUCAACAUGGCAACAUGCAACAAUAAUAUGACUUGAUUGACUUAUAUAAGUACUUCAAGUCUUGCAAUUAAAUUAAAAAUUGUAACUAAUUAAAUGUAAAGAACCCGAGGACCUGCAAUUCUUCGACUAGCCAUGUACAAAUAUAAAUGGCCAACCCAACAGGCAAAUUUUCAUAGAAAGUAAAGCAUUUUCUGGGCACCAUAAUGAUCAUGGAAGCUGAAAGUUUAAGUGAAAGCAGAAACAAAAGGGAAGAAGACAGUAAGUCAAGGCAAAAGGUGCAGAGAGAGACAGAGUUAAUUGGAAAUGCCAAAGACAGAGUUAAUUGGAGAACUGUCUAAAUUCUCCAUUAUUACCACUCAUGAUUUGAUGGUUAUCUAAAUUCUCCAUUUCCGUAACACAGGUACAAACAUGAAAUAUUUCAGCAGCGGUUCCUUUCAAUUACAAAAUCACAAAAAUUAAAUAUCACAAAAUCUUGCAUUUACUUAAACAAGUUCUGGUUCCUUUCAAUUACAAGAAAUAACAAUAUCAUUCCGUUUCCAUCACUGAAGAACUUCGAUUGAAAUCAAAACUUUUUUUGUUGUUUACCUUGUGAAGGCGAUCGAGAGUGAAGGAAAGGAGAACUUCUUAAGGUUGCUGAGAGAUAAACUUCCAGAAAACAAAUACCAAUCUUCACAGUUCACACGGCAGGUGACAGUGGCAGCAGCAGCAGUGAUGACUGACGAGCAGCGGCGGCAACGAGCUUGCAGCGGUGGCGACGAGCAGAGGGGACAGAAGAAGACAGAAGUGUGGCUGAAGGUCACGACGAACAGCGGCCAGCGGGAAUAGAAGAAAUCACGACGAGCAACGGCCAGCGAACAGAAGAAGUCACGACGAGCAGAGCAGCGGCCAGCGGGAGACAGAAGUCAGAAGUGUUUAGAUUUAAGCUUUAGGGUUUUUUUACAAUCGAUUUAUUUGAGAUUCCGGUUCGGUUUUUCGGUUUUUUUAAAAAAAUCGAAAACCGAACCGAUUAAUUUUACUAUUUGUAUGAUAUUACUAUUUCGGUUUUUUAGAAGUAAAAAAACCGCACAAAAACCGAACCGAACCGAUCGGUUCGGUUCGAUUUUUGAUUAAUUAACUUUUUUUGCCCACCCCUAGAAGAGAGGGAGCCGCCAAAGAGGAAAAAAAAAGGCAGACGCAAGGCAGAAAAGGAGAAGAAGAAUAGUGGCAGCAGCAGUAAUUUAAUUCUCCAUGAUUGAUUUUAUUUAUUUUGUUGCUCCUUAUUUAAGUAUGUCUAACUAAUUUUCUUAUAUUAAGAUUAAUGAUGAAAUCAUAUUUAAUGAAAUAAUUAUUUUUUUAUUUAAUUAAUUUCUUAUACGUGUGCUUUAAUGUUUAUGAUUUUUGUUGAAAAUGUGAGACUCGACCGUUCAUGUGGGGGACUCAAUUUGUGGUGUUUCCGUGCAAUAAUGUUGUACGCUAUAGAUGUUAAAAUCAAUGGAGCUAUUUCAGCAGUUCAAAAUCCGAAAAUUGUCUCCUUAUUUCUGAGUGAUAAAUUGAUAACAUCUUUUAGUGUGAGAAAUUUAUAAUUUUUUACUUAGUAAUUUUAUCUCAGCGUCUUUGACUGUUUACACAUAAAUUGACAAAAUCAGCCACGAUUCUUAUGUUUCCCCUUAUAAAUGGAUAAUUUAAAUUUGUGAUAAUAUAUAUUUUAUUUAUUUUUCUUUAAAUGAUAGAAUAAUAGACAAAGUUCAAAUUAAUUCCUUAUUUCCUUUAGUUUUAGGACUCAAACUCGGAACCAACCAAAUAAUACUAUUUGAAAACCACUCAUUAGGCCGGCAACAAAUAAGUGAUAAUAAGUUUUUGGUUUAUAAACAAAAUGACGACGUUUUCUAUGCGAAAUGAAUGGUGACUAUUGCUCUAUGCCACGAGCAAUUUUUGUGAGUAUUCAGAUUCUCACAUGAAUAUAUAAUACAAUGGUUGAUUGAUAAAAGGAUGACGGGUCUUUUGUGAGCUUUGUAGAUAUAUUUUUCUUCCAAUUGUACUAUUGCAAAAAAAAAAAAAAAGGGAUCCGAAUCUUCAAUUGAUUUUUUUAAAUUGUUUUAAGGGGAAAUUAAAGCACUUACGUGGUCUUGUACAAUUUUUAUAAAUAUAUAUAGUUGUUUUAAAAAAUAGUGACAUCGUCUCUUCCUACGACAACUAUGUCUUUUAUUGUAGUGAUCGAAUUAUUUUUAUCUAGGCGUAAUUAUUCCAAAAGUAUCUAUAUAAUCAUUUUGUUAAAUGACGAAAUGUGACCAUUUUUUUCUCAUUUUUUUUCAUUUACAGUGCUGAUAUUUUCAUACCACAAUUUUUGUAAACCCACCCUACUUCAAGAAAAUAAUUAUAAUAAAUUCACAUUAUUUUUAAGAAAAUUCAAAUAAAGAAGAAGUUUGAGAAGUAAUUAAUUAAAUCUACCUUGAUUUGUUUUGUGACUUUAAUUUUUUUAUCAUAUUUGACUAAAAAGAUUGCUUUGUCAUAAUUUUAAAUUGAUUAUUUACUCUUAUAAGGUAAAAGUAGCAAAAUACCAAAAAAUUUACUUUAAGUUCAGAGUUUUUGAAUUUUAUACAAAAUUUAUAAUUUCUAAAAAAUGUAUCAAAACAAAUUUAUUAGAAUGAUUAUUAAGAUUUAGUUAAACUAACAAAAUAUUUUUAUGGCAUAAGACUCAUGUAAUUUAUUGGAUGUCAUGUUGUAAGUCACAAAACUAAAUACUUAGAUUGUUAGAUAUAGGAACAUUAUCACAUUAUCUUUGGAUAAUUUGGUCAUUUUAUGUAUCUUGGGUAAAACAUUGAAAUAAAAUUUAUCUUAAACCAACCUUAAUAGCAAAUAUGGCUAAACAAACAUAAGUGAAAAAAAUACAUAAGAAUUAAUUGAUUAAUUGCCCAAUCUCUUUGUUUAUCUCUAUUUUUUGAAAAUAAUGUGAGCUUAUUAUAACACUUCUAUCUCCCUCAAGAUUUACAUUCGGGUGACUAGCCAAAUAUAGAUGCUUGAAAACCAAAAGGCUUGGGAAAAUAAGAAAAUCUUAUAUAUUUUCACUAUCUGUUUCAACAAAUUUAUACACAUGGAAUCUGGUAAAUUUGUUUUCUUGAAAAAGUUGUUUCACUUAAACCAUUAUUUUUUAAUUUUCAUCAAUAAUCAAUAUUGUUAACCACAUAAAUUUUAAUUCCAUUAUUGUUCCCUGAAAAAAAUUUAUUUAAAUAUAAUUUUCAAUAGCUAAAUUUAUUAUUAAAAUAUUUGAAUUUUUUUUAAACCGCGAUAAAAAGAAGUCUUACCCGACCAACAAGUGCUAAAUUUUCUACACGUUGAAAAUUUGACUUGAAUGUGGGAAAACAUUAAAGAAAAUAGGGCAAAAUAAUUGCUCGGUAAAAGCGUGAUAAUGAAAUAGCAAAAUUCUUUGACAAUUUUGUUCAUGCAAUUAAAUGCCAAAUGGUGAGGUUGGGGAUCAUUGAAGAAGUUGAAUGGUCUUUGGCCAUUAUGAAUGGUCGAUCCGCAAUUCAUUCAUGAUUUGUCAAUAUUUGCUCAUGGAAAUGGCGGAUAUUUCACCGGAUAUUGGACCGCAAGCUUAAGGCGAUCCUUACACGCCAUCUGUUGAAAAAUUCAAAAUUGAAAUUCAAAUACACAUGCAUGCAUUCAGCUUUGACGAGGUAAAUUUGAAGACAAAUUCCUUGCAUGCAAAUUUCAAGCACACCAAUAUUGAGCUAGCGUGAUCCAAUUGCAUGUGCUACUUAGGGUUCAUGGAUGAUUUGACCUGAACAGGCCAAUUCCUUACCUCAAAAGGUCAACUAUCUAUCUGACCUGUCGAUUCCUGAGCCUCCCCUCCCGGUUGGCGUUUGUCAGCCACUAGAGCAAGUAAGAGAACCUACAGUGAAUGAACUUAAAGAUAAAGAACAGCCUAUCCUAGAUCUUCCCAUUUUCAAGAAGAUCCCGGGCUCGAUCCGGUUUAGUAUCAAGGUGAGGGAUCAGUGUUUUCUAAGUGAAUCGAAAGCUUUCUUUCUUUAAGAGAUUUCAAGUCUGGGUCCCCUCGAGCACCCUUCCCUUGAACCUGAACUGGUCGAGAGAGAUGAACCCGCACCACAUUUUAUAACAGAACCAACUGGUUUCACACCGGAGGAACAAUUCUUUGAGGCCACGCAACGACCCAAACAGUUUGGAAAGCGUAUAUAGAAUGCAACCCUUGUUGGAGAAAAAUCAGGUUUUUAAAUUUUUUAUAAAACCUUUUGAAGAUCGCUCUCAUAUAAUAUAUAAGAAUUUGUAAUCUAGAAAUCGUACCUUGAAAAUCCGAUUUGGCUUUUUCCGUUGAAGUGAUUUAGGCUCCUAGAUCACGAUCCGUCACCACCACUCUUGUUAGAUCACGAUCCGUCACCACCACGCUUGUUAGAACACGAACUGGCACCAAUGAUCUUCCAGGUUAUGACUCAGGUUCGAUCAGCACUUGACGUGUGGGUGCCUUUAUCACUACCAAAGCAACUAGCACGAGAAAAUUUUUCUCUCAACAAUAGAGAGAAAAAUCUUUUUCUCUAAUCUGUAUAAAGUGGCUUUUUUUCUUUUUUUUAGAGAAAAAUAAGCCUUUUAUAUCACCCUUUAGUGAAAACCCUGGGCUCCAAAUAAUCAAAAAAUAAAACUCACGUUAUUUGCUUUUUCUAUAGGGGACCCACCUUGUAAAAUAACAUAAGGCCCCUUAAACAAAAGCUAAUUAAAUGGAGCCUCCUACUAAAUGAUAAAUUUAGGCUUUUGACCCAAAUAGCUAGUUAUCUUACUUAUUAGUCCAGUAGUGGUGCAGUCAAUUAAAUAAGCUAACCCGGGGAUCAUUUGGGAACAUACAAUAGUGGCUACAAUAAUUAGACCUGUAAUUAAACUAGCCCAAUUAUUUAAUUCCAAAUCUACUCCACUAAAAGAUUGGAAUUGGCUUCCAUAAUUGUAUGCUCGAAUAAUAAUUCGUCCCAAGCCACAUUGAUUUCUUUACUGCACAAUCCUUUAUACCACUUCGUUAAUUAAAUUGAUAUCUCAACUGUCCAAUCAAUUUAAUAACAUCUUAUUCCUUGAUCCUUACUGGUUUUCUCUAAUGAUCAUUUUCAACAUACUAAAUAUGUUGACACACUCUGGCCAGAGAAUUCUAUGAUCAAGUGCCGAAAACCCAUCAAGAGAUGUGUUGUACAAAUUCUAUAUUGUUAAUCCAUAACUCCAAUACUCAUAAUUGCUCCCACCAAGAUACCGGGUAAUCUUGACCACAAGGAUGUGUCGUGCCCAUUGGUAACUCAAAUGGAAUAACAAUUACAAUCAUGAAAUCAUAAUUAACUCAAGAUUAAGAUUACAGUAAAAUCAACGCCUAUGAGAUUUAAUAAGUCUGACAGUUAUUACAAAGUUAAUUAAAUCUCAUAUGUGAUCCUAUUCAAUGUAGUCGUUCUACAUCAAUAAAUUCAUACAUGAUUAAGACAAAUCAUUCAAUGAAUUUAUUACAGUCUAUACCUAAAUAAAGUGCCCAACUUUAUUUAUCAACUGCGAACUAAAUUUAUUUAAUCAUAAGAUAACUUGUAUUUAUGUCUUCUGUGAAUCCACAUGGUGAUCACAUAAAUACAUAUAAUAUGAUUAAAUGGAUUUUAAUAAAAAUAUUAAUGCAAUUAAGAUAUUUGCAUAAAAUACCUCAUUAUUUUUAUUAAUCAGAAAAAAUGUUUAUUACAAUUAAAUAAAGACAUAUGCUUUUAAAGAGCAUAUUUUCCUAACAAUCUCCCACUAGCUCUCAAAGUAUAUCUGACAUAUUGCACAUGCUCUAGGGCUCUAAGUGCAGGUUAUAAAGGUUUCCCACUAAUGGCCAUUGUAAUAAGAUCUGUCAUUUAGCAUCUAAUGCCAUUUGGGGUACUGUCAUAUAACCUUUCUACACUAUUCCCUUAUAAGAUGAUACUUCCUGUCAGUAUGUUUUGUUUCUUGUGGUUCCUUAGAUUGAGCUACUGCACCACCACUAUCACAAAAUAGUUUAAGGGGUGUAGUUACAACAGGUACCACCUCAAGAUUUUGUAGGAACUUGUGGAGCCUAUAUAGCUUCUUUUGCAGCUUCAGAUGUAGCCACAUAUUCAGCUUCAGUUGUGGAGUCUGUGAUACAAGAUUACUUCACACUCAUCUAACUAAUAGCUCCACUUCCUAAUAUAAACACAUAGCUGGAAGUUGAUUUUCUAAAAUCCUUAUCUGACAAAAAAUCAGAAUUAGUAUAACCCACUAGAAUAAGUUCAUCACCAGAAUACACAAGCAUAUAAUUUUUAGUUCUUUUCAGAUACUUUAUAAUAUGCUUGACUGCAGUCCAGUAUUGAGGUCCAGGAUUAAAUUGAUAUCUGCUAACCAUCCCUACCGCAAAACAGAUGUCUGGCCUAGUGCAAAGCAUGGCAUACAUGAGACUUCCCACAGCUUCUGCACAGGGAACUCGUCUCAUUCUCUCUAUCUCUUCAGAUGUUUUAGGUGAUUGAUCCUUAGAGAAUGUAAUUCCAUGUCUGAAUGGUAAUAAACCACUCUUGGAAUUUUUCCAUGCUAAAUCUAGCCAAUAUCUUAUCGAUAUAGACCGCUUGAGACAAGGCUAAAGUUUUAUUCUUCCGGUCUCGUAGUAACUUGAUACCAAGAAUAUAACUUGUCUCUCCCAAGUCUUUCAUAUCAAAUUGUUUUGCUAACCAAAUCUUUAUUGUAGUCAAUACUCCUAUAUCGUUUCCAAUCAGGAGAAUAUUGUCUACACAAAGAACUAGGAAGGCUACAAAUUUUCCCUGAAUUUUCUUGUACACACAUGGUUCAUCAAUGUUCUGAAUGAAUCCAAGCGAUUUAAUUGCUUGAUCAAAUCUGAUGUUCCAUGACCAGGAUGCUUGCUUCAAUCCAUAAAUGGAUCUCUGCAACUUACAUACCAUGUGUUCUUAGCCUUUUUGUAUAAAUCCAUCUGGUUGCUGCAUGUAGAUGUUUUCUUCAAGAUGCCCGUUAAGAAAGGCAAUCUUGACAUCUAUUUGCCAAAUUUCAUAAUCUAGCACUGCGGCAAUGGAGAGCAGAAUCCUGAUGGAUUUAAGCAUAGCAACCGGAGAAAAGGUUUCCUCAUAAUCGAUUCCUUCUUUCUGAGUAAACCCUUUGGCUACUAAUCUUGCUUUAAAUGUUUCCACCCUUCCUUCUACUCCUCUUUUUCUCUUGUAGAUCCACUUGCACCCUAUAGGUUUUACCCCAUUUGGUGCCUCUACAAGUUCCCAGACUUUAUUGGAAUACAUAGAUUCCAUUUCUUGAUUCAUGGCCUUUUUCAAAAUUCAACAUCUCUAUCUAUUAGAGCUUCGUUGUAACUAGUGGGAUCUUGUACAUGUUCAUCUGAAAUAGCCAUAUAGGUUUCUCACAAAAGCAUGUAUCUCGCAGGUAACCUAGUUACCCUCCCACUACGACGAGGUUCUAAAAGUGAUGGUUGUUCAAGGAUAAUCAUGUGCUGAUCAACUUGUUGUUGCUGUUCUUUAUGUUCUAUAACAGGUGUUGAAAGCUGAGCAUCAACCUGAUCUCUUUUAUUUCUCUAGUUUUACCUUACUCUUAGGUUAUAAGUCAUUAUAUAGUCUUCCUCAAAGAAAGUAAAGAAUAUUUCUAUAAAUACAUUCCUAUCUUGAGGACUACAAUUCAGACUUUCCCUAUUCCUUUAAGAUACCUAAAACAUGCAAGCUUCUGAACACGAAUCCAUCUUCUCUAUCUCUGAUUCUAGUAGAAAUACUAGUAAACUCCAAAUACGAAUGUGUCUCAAGCCAUGUUUGUGACUUUUUCAUAAUAGCUUGGAGUAGUAGACACCGAGAUAGAUGAAACUAAGUUCAAUAAACUUUGUAGUUUCAAAUACUAGUAUCUGGAAUCAAAAAGGUAAAUGAUAAAUCACUUAGUAUAUAUCUUGUCUUAUCCAAAAGAAUCUUGUUUCUCUAUUUAAUUACACUAUUGUAUCAUAGUGUUCAUUGACAACCAAAUAGUGCUUGAAUUCUCCAUAGAGAUAUUCUUUGUUUCGAUCAUAUCGAAGUUCUUUUAUGUUCCUGUCUAAUUGCUUCUGUCUUAUCCAUGUACUCUUUUGAAUUUCAAAAGCAAUGGAAUCAUGACGCAUUUAGACAAACAUAAAUAAAAUGAAUAUUCAUCAACAAGAUUGAUAGAAUACUCAUAACCUCUUAUAACAUGUAUACUGAUUAGUUCGUAUACAUUUGUAUGCGCUAAAUCAUCAAAUACAAUGUUAUGCUUUUAGCUCAAAAAGAGCAUCCUUGUCAUAUUACUUUUCUAAAUAAGAUUUAUAGAGUUACAAUGAUCAAUCUUAAUAGGCUAGCAAGUCUAUCAUUAAUCAUUUUCUUAAAAUCUUAUUAUAGUUUAUAUGACUUAAGCAUAAAUAUCAGAGGUGAUUUUUGGUUAGAAGAAACAUUUCUUUUCUUAGAUAAAUGCAUAUACUUUUUAUCAUUAUAUCUUAAUUUGAAUAGAUCAAUGUACUUCUAUGAUAUAAAUUGUCUUUAUAAAUAACCAAAAUAAGUAAUAAAUAGAGGAUCCAAAAAUAACAGUGUACUUCUGUUUAUUAAAACAAGCCACCGAAAUUAAAUUCCUCUAAUAUUUGGAAAAAUAAAGACAAAUAUCAAAACUAAAGUCUUGUAAAAUUGAUCUAGUCUUUCAAUUGAUAUAAACUAGCAUGUCCUCAACUGCUGUUUGAAGCUUUCUUCACUUAAUCUUUUGGUUUCCUGAAAACCAAAUAAAUUAAUUAUAAAUAAGAUUAGUUAUCUCAGAAUUCAUUAUUGUAUGAAUCAAUAGAAAUCUGAACUAAUUAGGAAGCUUAAAAAUUUCAUAUACCUGAUUUUAAUAAUCUUAGGACAAUCUUUCUUCCAGUGACCCUUCUGUCCACAUUUGUAACACUUGCCUUUUGGCUUGCCACUUCUUUUAGUGGACAGUUUGUCGAUCCCAACUCUUGCUUGCUCAUUCUUGUCUUUCGACUUAAGCCUUGAAGAGAAUCCUUUUUCAGGAAGUUUUCUGCUAUGAUAAAAUUCUUCUAUAGCAUGUAGUUCGUGCAUUAAUUCAAUUAAGGUCAUAUCUUUAUUGUUUAAGAUAUAGCUGACCUUAAACUCUUUAAAUGUAUCAGGUAAAGAUUCAAUCACAAUGUUAAUCUUUGAUUUAUCAUUGAUUUGAACACCAUGAAUCUCUACCUCAUUCAAAUAGUCCAUCAUUUUGAGGACAUGAUCACGAACUUUUGUGCCCUCUUCCAUCUUAGUAUCCGUAAUACGUUUUAAUGCUGCUUCUCUAGCAAAAUGAGUAUUUUGCCCAAACAUCUUAUGAAGACAAGCCAUUAUUUCAGUGGUUGUUUCCAUGCUCCGAUGUUUCUUAUGCAGUUCCACAGAAAUCGAAGCCAAUAUAUAGCGUUUAGUCAUUUUGUUAGCUUCGUACCAUUUCUCAUAAGGCUCCCUCUGAUUUCUAUAAUCGUAUAAGGAUGGUUCAGGAGGGCAAGGCUGGGUCAACACAUAUUUGCAGCCCUUAGCAGUGAGAAUAUUAAAUAGAUUGCGUUUCCAAUCUAAAUAAUUUUCGCCAGUGAGUUCAUUUUUAACAAGGAUAAUUAAUAAUGGGUUGAUGGAAGACAUUUUCUGAAAAAACAAAAUAGACAUGCAUAAAUACUUUGAAACAAUAUUCACAAUAAAUGACAAAAAUGCAAAAAAUCAUAAAUGCAUUUUAAUUUAUUGUAACGAUAAUCUAGUACCGCUUUGACAAGCUAUCCGUUGGGGAAGUCAUGUCUACACUUACUAGACCCAAUUAUCCAUUAGAUUAUUUACUUUCAUGUAGAGACAUGAUAAAUAAUUAUCGUUAUCCUUUUUGGGCCUAAAUUUGUUAACAGAGCUUCGUUGGGAAGGUUAAUAACAAAUUUUAGUUGAGUGUAUAACCAUUGUUUCAAUCUACAUAUUUUUUAUAUCAAUAGUCACCGUUGGGGCGAACAAUCGAUUAAAAAAUAUUUCAAUUUUAUCUUUGAAGAAGUUCAUCAAAUAAAAUAUCUAAUAUAUAUACCCUCCGUAGGGAGCAUCACCGUAUCAUGAAGUCGAGGUAUAUAUAUAAUUUUAUUAUUGAACUAACAAUGGAGCCCAUGGGAAAAAUUAUCUUGAAUUUUCCCUCUCCCACUGAAUAUUUUAAAAUUGAUUUUUCCUUUUUAAAAUAUACAUAUUGUUAAUUGCAUGCUUCCUAUAAUAUUAUCUAGAUGAUAUCCAAUAUUAUUAAGCAUAGGCAAAUUUCAAACAAUAUAAUGAAAUUCAUAAUUAAUGAAUGACAUGUAUCAUUAUACAUAGAGUGGCACUACCUAUUCUAUAUGACAUGUUAUCAUGGCAUGUUAUCAUCCAAAACAUAACAUAUAGAAAAAUAAUUAAUUAAUCUUAAUUCAUGGCUUUCCUAAUAAUGAAAAAUACAUUAACCCUAAGCCUCAUCUUCAUUGGGCUUCUUGUCAAUGUCCAUCUUCCAUAAGCUUGUCUUUGUUAAUGGACUAGGGGAAAUUGAGCUUUUAAAUUUAUAAUUGGUCCAAUUUUAAUUUUUGAAAGGAAAUAAAUAAAUGAUUAAAAUUUAUUAUUAAAAUAAAAAUUUUGGACCAAAAAUAAAUUUAAUACAUUCAAUUUUAUCUAUGCAUUUUAAUCUAUUAAGCCCAAUUGAAUUGAGCCUAAAACUAGGAUUCAUCAAACCCAAAACUAUUUUUGGACUUAAACGCAAAAAAUUAAAAAUUUUCUGCCCAAAUGAAACAUUAUGGAACCAUAGGGACCUCCAUGAUAAAAACCAUGAAACCCUAAAUUCAUAUUUUUCUUUCUUUCUUCUUCCCUAGCCGCCAUAUCCACAAACGGCCACUGUUCAGGCCAAUCUCACCGGACAGCCGUUAUCAACGUCGAGUUUGCCGUCGUCGAUACGCUGGAAGCAAAACAACCCUGCACACGCUGCUGCUGGCCAGGCUGGCCGCGCAUGCUGCUGGCACGUGUGCUGCUUGCUGCGCGCACUGCCAGCAUGCGCUUGCAGCGUGUGCCGCUCGUUGGCUGUAGCGAGUGCACUGGUCGGUGGUCGAUGUCGAAAUUUCCGGCCUCCGUCGCUUUGAUCUGUCAUCCGUGAUUGAUUUACAAAUUUCCUAGGCCAAUUUUGGCUUACAAAAUUCUAUAACAGUAAAUUAAAUCAAGAGGGAAACAUGGUGAUUAAAAAACCACCCCUCUUAUUACAGAUCCAAACGAAAAAUACAGUAGAAAAUCUAACCAUGAAUUAAGACAAACCAAAACAUGCUUUAUUCAUAUAUUAAACAAAUAAUAUAUAUCUGAAUAAAUUAUGCCACUCUAAUACAUAAAUUUCAAGAAUGAUUUCAUACGAAAUUCUUAUAUAUUAAUAUGAGGAGGCUCUGAUACCAAUUGUUGGAGAAAAAUCAGGUUUUUAAAUUUUUUAUAAAACCUUUUGAAGAUCGCUCUCAUAUAAUAUAUAAGAAUUUGUAAUCUAGAAAUCGUACCUUGAAAAUCUGAUUUGGCUUUUUCCGUUGAAGUGAUUUAGGCUCCUAGAUCAUGAUCCGUCACCACCACUCCUGUUAGAUCACGAUCCGUCACCACCACGCUUGUUAGAACACGAACUGGCACCAAUGAUCUUUCAGGUUAUGACUCAGGUUCGAUCUGCACUUGACGUGUGGGCGCCUUUAUCACUACCAAAGCAACUAGCACGAGAAAAUUUUUCUCUCAACAAUAGAGAGAAAAAUCUUUUUCUCUUAUCUGUAUAAAGUGGCUUUUUUUCUUUUCUUUAGAGAAAAAUAAGCCUUUUAUAUCACCCUUUAGUGAAAACCCUAGGCUCCAAAUAAUCAAAAAACAAAACUCACGUUAUUUGCUUUUUCUAUAGGGGACCCACCUUGUAAAAUAACAUAAGGCCCCUUACACAAAAGCUAAUUAAAUGGAGCCUCCCACUAAAUGAUAAAUUUAGGCUUUUGACCCAAAUAGCUAGUUAUCUUACUUAUUAGUCCAGUAGUGGUGCAGUCAAUUAAAUAAGCUAACCCGGGGAUCAUUUGGGAACAUACAAUAGUGGCUACAAUAAUUAGACCUGUAAUUAAACUAGCCCAAUUAUUUAAUUCCAAAUCUACUCCACUAAAAGAUUGGAACUGACUUCCAUAAUUGUAUGCUCGAAUAAUAAUUCGUCCCAAGCCACAUUGAUUUCUUUACUGCACAAUCCUUUAUACCACUUCGUUAAUCAAAUUGAUAUCUCAACUGUCCAAUCAAUUUAAUAACAUCUUAUUCCUUGAUCCUUACUGGUUUUCUCUAAUGAUCAUUUUCAACAUACUAAAUAUGUUGACACACUCUGGCCAGAGAAUUCUAUCAUCAAGUGCCGAAAACCCAUCAAGAGAUAUGUUGUACAAAUUCUAUAUUAUUAAUCAAUAACUCCAAUACUCAUAAUUGCUCCCACCAAGAUACCGGGUAAUCUUGACCACAAGGAUGUGUCGUGCCCAUUGGUAACUCAAAUGAAAUAACAAUUACAAUCAUGAAAUCAUAAUUAACUCAAGAUUAAGAUUACAGUAAAAUCAACGCCUAUGAGAUUUAAUAAGUCUGACAGUUAUUACAAAGUUAAUUAAAUCUCAUAUGUGAUCCUAUUCAAUGUAGUCGUACUACAUCAAUAAAUUCAUACAUGAUUAAGAUAAAUCAUUCAAUGAAUUUAUUACAGUCUAUACCUAAAUAAAGUGCCCAACUUUAUUUAUCAACUGCGAACUAAAUUUAUUUAAUCAUAAGAUAACUUGUAUUUAUGUCUUCUGUGAAUCCACAUGGUGAUCACAUAAAUACAUAUAAUAUGAUUAAAUGGACUUUAAUAAAAAUAUUAAUGCAAUUAAGAUAUUUGCAUAAAAUACCUCAUUAUUUUAUUAAUCAGAAAAAAUGUUUAUUACAAUUAAAUAAACACAUAUGCUUUUAAAGAGCAUAUUUUCCCAACAACCCUUAUGGACUGAAUCUUUAUUACACCCUUGGCGAGGAACCAAGAGUCAUUUACUACAUGCUUAUUAGGCACUGCCGCAGCAUCCACUGGUACAAGGAAGAGGCACGAUAGCGAAGAUCAAUCCAUCUCAAUCUGCAAAAACGAAAAACAUUGCCUUAGGCAUGCAACCCCAAAAAAAGGAUAGAAAGACUGCUCUAAAUUGAUUCUUUUAUGCUGAUAAACUCCAAUUGCAUUAUAGGAAUUACAAAAAAGGGGUUCUUUCGUAUACUUAGGUGAUGUUUGGUUGGGGGGCGAGAAUGGAGGAGAGAAAAGUAAUUUAAAUUUUAUUUUUAUUUUCAUUGUUUGGUUGCACAAAAUAUAUAAGAAUUUAAUUUCUAUUAAAAUUUAAUAUCCCUUAUAAUGUAGACUUUAAAUUCCACACCAAAAAGUGAAGAAUUUAAAUUCCUCUUAUGUUGAAAACACAAGUUUUCAAAAUUGCCCUUCAACAUUUCAACUUGUUUAAUGUUAUUAAUAAUAAUAAUUAUUUAUAAUUUUAUUUUAUCAAUUUAAUAUUAUAAAUAAUUUUAUAUUAAUCAAAUUCAAUGAAUGAUUUAAAAAAAUUAAUAAAAUAAAUAAACUUAUUUAUUUAUUUAAUAUGAAAAUAUAUAAAUAUAAUUAACUAUCGCCGUGCCUUCACCGGAUUUCUGCCGGAACUUCGCCGGACCAUCGCCGGAUUUUUGCCGGACCACCGCUGACACACCAAAUCUCCGCCGGAACUCGCCGGACUUCCGUUGGAAAAUAGCUGGUCGACGUUGACCGGCGCUGACUUAUGUUGACCUACGUUGACUUAUAUUGACUGGCUUUUAUUUAUAUUAAAUUAUAUUAAAUAGUUUAAGAUAUUAAAUUAUUUUAUAUUUUAUAUUAAAUAUAAAUCAUGAAUUGUUUUAGAACUGUUUGAAAUUAAAAAAGUUUGGUAUUAAUAUUAAAUUAUAUUUUAUUAUUAAUAUAGAUAAUUUAAUAUUUAAGGCAAAGGAUAAAUUUGUCCAAAAAAAAUUAAAAUUCCUUUCCCUAUUAAAUUUUAUGUCAAACCCAAUAAUGAAAUUUAAUUUCACUAUUCUCUUUCACUCCUCUCUUCUCCUUUCCCCUCCAUUCCACUCUUUUCCUCUCCUCCCCUUUCUUAAAACCAAACACCACCUUAUAGCUAUUAUCGUCGCAAGCAUAGCGGAACCCAAGCUCAUGCUCACGAUAGCACAACGUGGCCUACGGUGGUACCACGAUGUCCCUAGAGUCAUAGACAAGCUUCGCAUAUAGACAACCCGUACAGUAUAGCGGAUGCACGUUUAAGCCUCACGAUUCCGUAACACAGCUAGGCUUAAGGCCAACUACUGGCUAUACUGACUACUUAUUAUUGUUCUAGAGCGGGGAAAGUCUUCAAGAAUGCUGCUACCGAAUGAAGUUCAUCUUUCCCCUCUUUCCCUAUAAUAAAGUGCAGGCCCCCGUAGAUAGAUAUCCCAUAUAGCCCCUCCUCACGUCGACUUUUUGCCGUUGAAUCCCGAAGAAAGAAUAAAAUAGACAAAAUUCCUAACAAAAAGAUAGUGAUGGUUCCUCUUUGAGGGCCCGAAGGGCAACGUACCUAAUAGAUAAAGGAUUUUUCAAACGGGAACUCAUCUUGUACCGCAACUUAAACAAUCAUUGUCGGAAGGGCCGGAAACUUGCGUUUUCUUAUGAUAAAUUGUACCAUGAUGAUCUUCUAUUUAUAUUCUCUAGUUUAUCUUUCUUCAAGUGAGAUAGUUGAGCCCGCCCCAAGCGGAACCGCAUGAGUUCACCGGGGUUGAGCACGGUCCGCCAAAAUCGGCAUAGGUUAGGUGCUAUUGAUGGAACAUGGUAAGCCUAUCUUUGUUCUCUAUAUGGAAGUGUUGCGGGAUUAAAGGAGUUGGAAGAUGAGCAAGAGUAUUCUCAAUCGACACUCCUAAAAAAGAUAAUAGGUUCUAUGAUAAGGAAUAGGAACAACAAAAGCAAGUCUUUUGAGUAUAAUCCUGGUAUCUUUCUACAAUCGUCUUUGUGGCGUAGGCCGAUCAAUCCCCGAAAUAAGAUCACUUAAAGGAAAUGAGUGGAAAUAAGACAGGUCUAUAUUCCUAUAGAAAGAAAAGCCCUUUCCCUCCCUGCACGAGUGAGUUGCCAAGUGCCUCCCAAGAGGGCAGUCUACCACAAGAUCUUACUUAUGAAUGUCAAGGAAGAAAAAGAAAGACAGGUAGGUUUGUAAACUAAAGCCAGAAGCCCGGGAAGAGGUGUUCUCCAUUAGUACAAGUAAGCGGCUGAGUUAGCAAAGCCUACCCUACUAAUGUAUUGUAUAGUAGCGCCUUUUCCUUUUUGAAUAUAACUAAGGCUAGCUCACUGGUAGUAGAAGGAAGCAGAGAUUCAGGCAGUUAGGCAUCAGUUUGAGUUCGAGAUCGAGACCCCAUAGAUAAGGUAGGUGUUAAUAGAUCAGUUCGGUCUCUGAGGCCACCGAGUAAUCAUAGGUAAGUAGCAGCUAUCUCCGACCGAGCAAGUGUAGAGGAAGAAAAGACAUAAUUAAAAAAAUUGUGUAAAAUAAAUGAAUUUAUCCAGUUAAGGCAUGCUUGAUUGCGCAUUCCUUUACGCAUUCCGCUGACCUUUCCAUUACCAUGGGAAAGCCUCACUCUCGGUGAAAUGGAUAACAAACUGAAUAAGCGAUCAUCGUCCGGUGGUCGGUAGCUCUACUAAGCGAAUAACCGCUCGCUGCUUUUUCUUCGCGAAUAACAUGUGCGGGUAGCCUAGGAAAAGAGAAGCAAGCUACCUUCGCCUACCUCCCCGCCGCUCAUGACAAGCAAGCAGCAUACUAGGUUUCAUUAUUAUAUAGGACUUCUUUUGUGCUACCACGCCUCUCUUGACCUCUGCUUGCAUCUCGAGAAAGUAUAAGGGUCACCGAAAGUGAGGGAAGAGAUAUCCAAUUUGAUAUCUUAUGAUAUAUUGAGGAUGCUGCAAUAGUUUGGUUUCACCUCUAGAUGGUGUGAGUGAAUCAGGGCUUCCAAAACCUUUCUUUUUUCGGUAUGCCGCUCCGCGAGUAAGGAGUGCCACGCACGAGCGGAGCGAAAACAAAGCCGGUCAAAGAUUCCAUUGGAAAGGUAGAUGACAUUUCUGCUAUUUCGGUAAUGCUUGAGCAGGGGCAGCCCAGUCUUAGUCUAACUAAGUAUUCUAUCCAUACUAUGACACUGCGCAAAAGAACCAGGCAUAGUGUGAAACAUGAUAAUACAAAUAGGGGCGUGCCACAUUCUUGGUUUAAGUAUACUAGAACAUAUUCCAUUUUGUUGACGGUGAAUGCCUGUCGAGCCACAGGCGGAAAAAUAAUAAAAAAGUUUCUAAAAAUAAAAAUACUAAAAAAUAAUUGAUAAGGGGGGUUGAGCAUCCUUUGUAGAGCACUUUGCUGGCGCUACACUAUCACGUUACAACUAGCAUCCCCUUUUUGCUAUUUCUAUCUAUUAUUAGUUGGGGCUUUUCCCAAACUAAUAGCAAGAGAGGGAGUGAAAGAGGCUGGAAAGUACGAAGCAGGUUCUAUGCAAUUGACUCGACUGAAAGGAAGAUUUUUUACUUAGGCCCAGGAGAGGAGGGCUCUUUGGGACUGGGGGAGACGAGUGGAUUAUAGAGCUAGGAGUGGAUCGAGGGUUUGUCCAUUGGGAUUGGUUUGAUAUGGUUUGCGUGUUACUGGUUGCCGGAAGAGUUAAUAUCUCCAUUAACUAAACCCUUUCUUACCCUAUGAUAGAUUCAUGAAAUGAGCAAGCAUCUGAUAUAUUUUACACCUUUUCAUAACGCCUAUGUGACUUGCCAAAGCUGUCGCUCCGUAUUUCUUGCUUAAAGCACCGCAACUUAUACGCUUUAAAGCUGCGCUUUAAACUUAACGGCAUUUGAGCAUCCAUUUUCUUACUCUUUGUCGUAGAGGCUCUCUAACCGGAGAGAGGCUUGCUAUCGUAACCUUUACAAGCCAUGAUCUAAAAGUGAUUGCCCCCCAGGCGAGAAAGACUAAUCUUAGAAUUCCGCUUGAAAACGAGUCCUGUCCUUGCUUUUCUAAAAAGUUACUAUCCCCAACAGGAUUGGAACUCUAGUUGUUCAAGUUCCGUUCACCUCCUUUAACUUUCAAUUAGUGAAAUUCUAUUUAUUUCUUUCUUAGGGAAUUGUGGUCGACCCCGACUAGAUGACCUGGGCCUGAAGAAUGACAAGCUUUCGCAAUGAAAUCUUUCUCCAGAUAAUGCCUUGGUUACAUAAAUAAUCUACUCCGAUACACCUACCCGUGGUAUAGGUGUGUUCAAACACACCACGCUAUUUUUUUCCUUUUGAGAGGGUACUCCGAGUAGUGGGUACCUCGUAGGACCUCAACCCGCCUACUUGGGUCUUGUAUGGAUAUGCAGGAAGAUCUUUAGCUAACCCAUACCUUAUCUAAAUACCCAGGUUCCGUGAUAUCAUAUCCCAAUUCUGAUUCUUUUGCCAUCACCUUCUAUUACUUCCUUGGUCGAGCAUCUAUCAACACCUGACGAUGAGGAGAGUGAUCAAUUCACCAUGUACCUGAUUCAAUACAACUAUCUAGCCCUAUUAUCGAAGCACUUCUUUAUAUACGUCGCCAUUUGACGAUCUGUCUUUAGUAGGUCGUCUAUUCUUUCUUACCGAGAAUCGAGCGCGAGGCUUGAAGACCCUACCGCAUUCCGGCCCCGGGGCCCUCAAUUGGUUCUUUCUCUCUUCUCUUUUACCAACGAGUGGUGAGUUACAUAUGUACCUUUAGUAGUCUGUUAUCUCAUACGCUACCCUAACUACCAUAUGUACUUUUCUUUUGCUAUCUAAUCAACCCAUUGAUUCAGUCUUGGAAGGUGGUGCGUACCAAUGGCGUUUGUUAAGUCUUUGAUGAAGUGGGUUUCUUGCCUGACGAAGCCCUUCAAACUAUACUUGCACCUUAGUAGCCAUUAAUAGCAAACCCAACCUGAUGGAUCCUUGCGCUUUAUGAAAGUACGCUGUACUGGCCUUCCUUCCUCUACCUGUCAGGGAGACUUAUUUUCUUUAUUUUUAAGGCUUCUCAGACUCUUGUGGAUUCGCCUCUUUCUUCCCUCGCUUGUGACCAGCUUCUCUUGUUGUUGUUCCUAGAAAAAAAGUAGAAGUCAUGUGACAAGAAGUACUUUUUCUCAGCGCGUUCGUUGGAGUCGUGGAAGCGAAGCAAGGCUCGUUAUAGAGGAAAUAUGGAAUCUUCUAGAAAAACGUGGAACCCAUGCCCCUUUUCGCUUGAAAGAGCUUUGAUCACGACUGGUUGUAAACAAACUACUGUCUCGCCUCUACUUUCUAUCGAGCUCCGCUCUCCCCGCCCCAUUCAUGGCUUGUUGUUCCCCAAACUCUUUCUGGCAGAACCCUUCGAAUUUUUAGAGAAAAACCACGCUAAAUGUUUUUGAGAUUUUGAAACUUAUUGCACCUAACCUUUGGGCAUAUCAAAACAAGAAAAGGCACUACCUGCGGAAGAGAAAGAGAGAGGAAAAAAAAUACGCAUGUCAGUCUAUUCUACAUCUAUAUUGUUCAAGCAAAAAUCAAAAUAGGAUGUCUAUAUGAUGAUUUUCUAAAUAAAAAAGAAAUAGUGAGUGAGAAAGAAGAUGUGAGUCUAAAAGGCAACAAUCAAAUGCCCCUUUAUUAGUAAGGUUGCUUGCUUGUUACACAAGUCGUAUUUGGCUCGUCUCCUUCCGUGAUACGCACCUGGUAGUAGUAGCAGCCCGACCAUAAAUCCAACUUCGAGAAGUAAAAGAAAAUCAAGACAGAUGCCAAGAGAAACUAUUAGACUUGUUUAUUGCGUUGCGAAGAGAGAUCUACCGUUUAUCCACCAAUCUGCCUUGCUCUUUAUGAGCUGAGCUAUUCCGUAUGAAAAAAAAGAAUCCAAUCAUCUACCUAAGGCGCUUCUAGAUCCUUCUUUGAUUCGCGAGAACUCGCUCAGCCUAACCAAAGCAUCAUAACAACAUCCAAAGGUUGACAAAGUCAACGCUACUAAGGACCAGGGUGAGCGGAAUUCAGUAGAGGCUCCUCCUUUCGCCUGAUCCACUAAUCAAUGUCCUCGCAGAUGGACUGAGCAUCAAACGCUUGGGGGAGGAAAGUGAACAAGAAGCAAAAAUUCUAUUAAUUAGAUUCUGCUAUCAAGAGAAGGAAUAC